UUUUUUUUUUUUUUUUUUUGCAAUUUUCUUUCCCUCCAAACCCCUAAGUACAAUGCCAACUCAUCUUAGUUGUAAUCUAUCAAGAAAAAACUAGAAUCCAAAGCCAUCUAAUGGCUCAAAGUUGCCAAGAAACCCAUCUUUCAUCUACACCAUGGCUGUGAGGGUUUAGGGAGCUUAGUUUCAUAUAAAAUCCCAUCAAAACGUAACAAGGGGAAGAACAGGAGGAGGCGGCGGACAAGAAAAUAGAGAGGAGAGAGAGAAAAUCGAGGGAGAAAAGCAAGAAAAGUGCAGAAAAUUCUGGGGGGGGAACCUGAGCCAGGGUUGACAGUUAGGAGGGUUUCGUGGUCACCUUUCGAUCUCUGUAGAGCCUCUUUGGAGCGAUUAUUGGUUUCUGGGUAAUCUAUGAUGAUCAAGGAGGAAUAUUGAACUUGGUGCCUUCGUCACCCUUAAAAAUUCUGCAGCGAGCUUGAUUGCCAAAUUCCAGCGUUGGAACGCGCCUUUCUUGGAUUUCUCCAUAUUUGCUUGCUGCCAAAAGAUGUCAAAAGGUAGCCCAUUCAUUCCUCUUUUUUCGUGUAUACCCGAAUAUGCAAUAAAUGUGACGAAAUUUGCUCCAUUUGCUCGUCUCUUUCCUUUUUAUGGUGUAUUUUUUCAUGGAUUAUUAGCUUAAGAUUUUUGCCAUGUUUGUAUGUGAUUUAACCUGAUAAGCAAGUGAUGAGUUUUUGCUUGAGUUUCCAGGCUGUAUGAUUUUGUUUUGGUCCAAAUGUUGGAUGAUUUGUUGGUAGCGUCUUUAGUUGAUGAAAACCUAGCAAAGUUGUAGAAGAACAAAAGCUGUCUUCGAAGGCUUGCAGGGAGAUCUUUCAAAAAUUUUGAAUUAGCCCCUCAACUUUUACCUAAUUCUAGUAUGCCCCAAAAACUUGUGAAAUUGAACCAAUUUUUGCCCAUUGUAAGUCUUGAUCCUCUUUUUAUAUUUUAAGGGGGUUUUUUUUGGGUAGAUUAAUUCUAGAUUUUGGGAUAUAAUUAGGUUUAAUGAUUUUUAGUUGAUUUUUAUCUUGUUGGAUUUCGGUAAUAUAGUUCAGGGUUUGGAUUAGGUUUAGUUUGAUUGAGUUUUGGAAGUGGGUUUUGAUUUAAUUUGAUUGGAUUUGAUAUGGGUUUGGAGGGUUAAAGCCCACCCCUUUUCGUUAGAUUUAUUUGGGUCAAAAUGAUGAUCUGGCCCGUAUUUUUUUGUUGGACUUUCGUUGGGCUUAAGAGGCAUUGGCCCAAAUAAUAAAUAAGGAAUGGCCCAGUGGCCUGUUUUCUCAAGAAAUCUGGUAACCGAAAUUGCAUUUCAGCCCCUAUACUUUUGAGUAAUUAUACUAUGUUCUAAAUACUUUGGAUUUAUUUCAAUUAGGCCCCUACUUUAGUUAUAUUUUGAUCCCUAAACUUUAUUUUUCUUUGAUUUUGACCUCUAAUUUUUGUAAUAAUUAUAGUUUGACCUUAAAAACUUUUAAAUUUUUGCAAUUAGAUUCCUGAUAGUUUUGAUUUCUUAAAUAUAAGUUGCUUUUCUUCUUUAAUUGUUAAUCAUACUUCAUUUAAGUGAUUUAAUUGGUGAAUUUCAUGAUUAUUUCAUUUUUUAAUAAUUAAAUUGGUGUUUUGAUCAUCUUGUUGAUUUUGGAAUAUAAGUAGGGCAAAUUUCACCCCAUUUAACCACAACUUCAAGGGAGGUAACCUUCUUUUAUUAUUUUAAAUCCUUUUAUGUGCUCCAAUGUGUUUUUAUGUGUAAUUGCAUGUUUUGAGUGCUUUUCCUUUAAUUACUCAUUUUAUUCAUUUUAAAUUUCAUUUAUUUUAUUUAAUCUUUGAUGAUUAUUUGUGAGGCAUUUAAAUGCCAAAUUGUAAUAGAUAGGUGCUCAAGACAUGUAUUUAGUUAGGCUAUGUAAUAGUAAGUUUUAAUUUUGUCAAAAAUAUAAUUAGUUAGAUAAAUGUAAUAGUUAGAUUUUUUUUUAAUUUUCCCCUUAGAUUGUAGUUAGGGUCCCAAAUGUAAUAGUUAGGUUUUUAUUUGUGUUUAUUCGCUUGUGUGCUUAUGGUUUAUUCGCUUUCCUUAGGGUCUUUGCAUCUAGAUAUUAUACUUAUAUGCUAUAUGCUCUAUGUGUUUUAUAUGUUUACUUGUUUUAAUUAUGUUUUAUAUGGUUUAUUUAAUUAUAAUAAAUGCAUAAUGCCACCACGCUAGCCCAACGAUAGUUGUGGCCAUUUUUCCCGAUUUCUCACUAGUCCAACGCUAAUGAAAACUUGUAGAAAUAGGUUAGUCCAAUGCAAGACCCUUUAGAUCGUCUUGUGCUAAAUUCACAUUCUUUGCAUGACAUUCAUCACAUUUCAUACAUUUUUUUUUUUAAUUUUAGGGUCUUUUCUCAUCUUGCAUGAUCUUUUCCCAUUAUUAUUAUGUUAACCCUAUGUAUGCCAAACAUGACAUUUAAACUUGUAUUUCAUUUAGGAAAUUAGAAGUAGGCUAGUUCAUUUGGUUGAUUAGGUUAGGAGAGCCACCCUUCAAAUAUGGAAAAUGAACGAGUGUGGUUUCUUAGUCUUAGCACGCUCUUUUUCUUUCUAUACGAAGGAAAAUUUGAAUCACGAAUUUUAGUCUCCAGUACCCGUUAUAUUGCAUUCCUCUCCUUUAGGUCACGUAUAUUUAUAUAUUAUAAUUCUUCUUUUGUUUGAGUCUCAUCUUUUGCAUAUUCGUGACCUCUUCUAAGAAUCAUUUUGGACGUCACAAUUAAUGUGAUUUGUACCAAUUAAAUUUUGAAAAGAUAUUUCGACCCUUUUGAUAUCCUUUAGGUCUAUAUUUGCAUUCAUGUAGAAAAAUCCAAAUGUGAUAAGUUUUAUAGGUUAGAUUAAGAAAAUUUUCGACUAAAUCUCACAACUAGUCUUGGCUAGAUUGAAAGAGUGUCUUAGGUUUGAUUCUGUCAAAUCUUUGUCUUCCCUUUCUCCAAUCGUGACUCUCGAACUCUUUUCUCUUGUUUUGAAAGACCUGGAAUCAUCUAAAAAGGGUUUUACCUAUUUUUUUAAAAAAAUACAUUUUUAGGUGAUUUGGUACACCUAAACUCGAUAUCAAGUGGCGACUCCUAUUUUUCCUAAAAACCCUUUCUAGACUAUUAUUUUGGGCCAAAAUUGUCGCACUUUUUAAGUCCCAUUCUAGGCCCUUUUUCCUUGUUUAUUCUCUAAAAUAAAAAAAAUCAUUUUCCACUCAUCAUUUUCAAAUAAACUCAAAUUUUCUCAAUAACUUACAUAUAAAUUUAUUUUAUCUUUAAAAAAAAAAAAAGACGCGACAAAGGCCAUUAUAGUCAUUUAUUGUGACAAGGGAGGUUUGUGUAAUUUGUAAAACUUGAGGGGAGUCGAGUGAAAUUGUCAUAAACCUUAGGGGAGGUUUGUGAAAUUAUCCCUUUGAAAAUUAAGUCUGCCCAAAUUUUGAUUGUAUAUAAAUAACUAUCAAAAUGUUUGCGAAUAGAUGAUAGGAUAAAAUCUGCCAAGUACCAAUGAAUGAUCGAUCAAAACAAAGCAACUCAUCAGAAGAAUUUAUCAAAAAAUUAAAAAGAAAAAUAUCUCACUAUCCUUUUAGCUCUCUUAUUUUAAUGGCUUAAAAUAUGUUUCAAGUAAAUUAGAAUCAUGCAAUGCUAAAAUCCCCACACAAGAUAACUUCGUUAUGGGUAUUUUAGUUGGUGGACGCUUGGCAUGUGUUAAAAAAAUUAAUAUACGAGUUUGGUUUAUUGAAGAAUUUUUGAAGUUACCACCCAACUUUCAAGUUACGGACACUUUUCUUUACCAAUUGUCAUACUUAUACUUUUCUUCUUAAAAAGGUGGCGUAAGGACGAAAUAAAAUUAACCUUGUUAUGAAAAUUGCCUUAUUUUUGUUUUAAGUAGUAACAUGUAAUGAGAGUAAGGGAAGGGCUUCCUGCUACGUGAGAAAUGUCAUACUACGAUUGCAUCGGGAUUCAAAUUAGAUUUUUCUAUUUUUCUCACAUAAAGAGUUUUGUCUUUAUAGAUAUAGAUUUAAUAAUUGAAUUGAACCACAUUAAUCUUGUAUCUACUCGAAGUUUCAUGUUUUUUUAUUUGUUUAAUUAAAUUGUCUUGUACUUAAUUUUUCAAUGAUUCUUCGUUUGCACUUGGAUCCCAGCAUCUUGUAUAAUAUCAUAGCUAGGUUUUGGUUAAUUAAUGAAAUUAAGUGAGUUGUGGUAAUUUUCAAUUCAAUAAUUUAAUAGGAAAAGAAUAUUCAUGUCAAUAAGGCUAGGAUCGAAAGACAACAAACAUAGAGGAUAUUUGCCAGUAAAUUUGGGCAAGUGAUUCAGAGGACAUGGAAAAACAUAGAGUCUAGUGUUAAAUUAGGAUGUAAUUUAGUGGAAAUGUUCUUAACAAUUUCCAAUGGUAUGUACUUGAUGUUGGAUGUAUUUCAGUUUUGUUCUUUGAGCGGUAUGACACAUGUAUAAAAAAUUUUAAAAAAAAAUCUAAUUUCAUGCAUCCCGAGACUCUCAAAGUUACGAGGUUUUCAUUAAUGAUGGAAUUUUGAAAAGCACACACAGGCGAGACAAUAUUAUGAAGGGGAGGAGUAUGGUGAUUUGUUUUUUUCAAAAAAAAAUUUUGUUACUUGAUUACCUCAAUAGUUGGGAGCAGAAUUAAGAAAGGGAUCCAAGAUUGCUUUCAAGUUGAAAGUAGUGGAAAAAAGGAAAAUCCUACAAACUUAAGUCAACUAAAGAUUACAUUCCAACAACGUAAUAAUUCGGUAUGUAUAACUACACAUCAAGCUUUUUGGUGGAGAUUAUUAGGAUAUUACUUAUUUUGUUUAGGCAAUUUUGUGACAAGUAAAUAGUUUCUAGUAAUUUAUACGUAUUUGGAGUAGUUGCCAAGAAAUUUUGUAUUUAUAUACGUUUGGAAAUCAGGUAAGUUAUUCUUUUAUUAUUAUUGAAGUAUUUGUCCAGUAAUAUAUCCUAUAAAUUGGAGGGGACUGUCAUAUCAUAAAUUAAAGUACACAAAAAGGAGUCAUGAUUAUAGAUGAGAGUGAGAAAAAGGACUUUGGAAUAUGAGAAAUAUUACACAAGAGUUGGGUUUAGAAUUCAAAUUGUAUUUUUAUAUGAAUUUUUUUCAUAAUAAAGAAUGGGUUAUUGAUAUGAACAUGUUAAAUCUUUCUUGUCAAUUGUAUUUUCAUGUUUUUGACUUAUUUUCCUUAAAUUGUUACAAACUUGAUGUCUUAUUAGUUGUUUAUUUCGUGCUUAGAUCACAAUAACAGGUCAGUGGAUUUCAAUUUUCUUUUUUGGUACGAUAAAAGUUUAAUCAUUACUCAUUGCAGAUUUGGGGACCAACAAUGAAGAAUUUCCUAGUUUUUGUCAAAAUAUUUCUUUGACGUUAAUUGGCAAAACCGGUUUUAAUUUUUUGUCCUUUGUUUUCAUUUUCCUUCAAAUUAUCGCAGGCCAAUUGCUGUUUAUGUACGAGGAAAGUGAAAACUCCGUGCAGAUAUAGUAGAGUUCCAUGUGAGGUCCAAAUCCAAUUCCAUAAUUGUGGCCUUACAACUGUAGUACAAUUCUCGGUCAGUUCUAGAACUUGUCUCCCAUGCAAGUUUUUAGUCUAAUUUUUAAUAGACAAGUUUUUUUAUAGUAAUCCUCUAUAAACAUCUCAAAAUUUUUAAUGUACACGUGGCUUAAUAUCUAAGAACACACAAAAUUUUCACUUUUUUCAUCAUUUUCUUCCUUCUCCCCCACCUCAACCCGCUACCGUUGGCCGACCGAUGCUGACGUCACCAGCUUGCAACUUCCUCCCUAUCCUCUCCCUCCCCCCACGCCCCUCCCAUAGUUCAUCAGAAUUCCACAUAGAGUUCAUCAGAAAUCAGGCCCAUCCCAUAAGCAAACGAGACUACAUGGUAAAGAAUUCCUUGAACUUUAGUCGCUGGAUGUCCAAGUAUGUAUCCCUGAAGCCAUAAAUGGAAAUGUCUCAGUUUUAACCUCAAGAUGGUAAAUUUUUCUCCAAAUGGUAUGUAAUCAAUCUAGCUUAUGUAGGCUAGAAAAGAGAAGAUCAUCAAAGAUAUAGACCUUAAUGAUCAAUACGUAGUUCAAUGCUGACCUCGUUUACUGGAAUAACACCAAAAUACAGGUAAGUUUUAGGCCUUAUAUAUAAUUAAUCUUAUAGUCAUAGAGCAACAAAUUGUUGAUCCUAUACUCUUUGUAUUCGCAAACUUCAAUUGAUCAUCUUAUGGCAGGAGAUAAUAUAGAAUUCUGAACUAUUGAGGUCCAACACGAAAGAGUACUUAUGCAAUGAAGGCAUAAAGGAUCCCAUAAACUCGCAUCCUAAGUAUCUCCUAAAUAGAAGUUUUCAAAGAAACGUUUUCUUUCUUUAUCCCAGAGCAUCCAAGGAAGUAUCCCUAAAGCAAUCAAUUUAACAACGCCGCAACAUGUUAGCAAGACGUAUAAUUAAGUAAAAUCUAGAUAGUGAUUUUUGGAGCCGGAAUAGAGGAUGUAACUUUUUGCCUAAGUGUUUUUAUCUUGCUACAUAGGUUAAGGAGAAAGAAAGCUAUGAAAUAUGUAGAAGUUAAGAUCAAUAUGUGGCUCAAUCCUAGCAUUGUUACCUGUAAUGACACCAAAAUAAAUCAAGUUCUAUGAGAUGAUGUUUCAUGUAAGUAUUCAUGAAGCAAUAAUUUGUUGCUUCUAUUUUUGUUUUCAGCAACUUGAAUGGGUCAUCUUGUGGUAGGAGAUUAAAUUAUCUGAAUUAUGAGAUCCAACUUGAAGGAGUAAUGCCAUCAAGAUAUUAAAAAAAAAAUCCCAGAAAAUUGCAUCCCUAAGUAUCUCCUAAUUAGAUGAAAGUUUUCUUCUUUACACUUCAUGAGUACUUCUUCAUCAAAGGUGAGGAGGAGAAGGAAAAGGGAAAGAUACCAAGAGAAAAGAAUAAAAAGCUUAAAAACUCCUUAGUAAAGUUUUUAAUUCAUUUUCCUCUUAAAACUCUGCCUAUCAGGUGCAAGCAUGAAAUAUCCCUAGCUAAGAGGCUUUUCGGAUUCACAAGUUUAUAAAAGAGCAUUAAUAGUGAAUUUGGAUCUCUUUAGACGGCUAUAUAUCUGCAUAAUUGCUACUCUCAGUUUCAAAUUUAACUGUUAAACUUGCCAAAAUCGAGAACUAAUGGAGUCCUUAUAGAAACGUCACUGAUUUUGUUACUGAAUGGACAACCAAGUCAACCAACUUAACAUGGACACAAAGUGGAGAUUUUCGUCUGCAUGCAUGACAAAUAGAUUAGCGGUUAGGGUUUUUCUUAUAGCGGUUGUCAUUUUGUUAAAGCUCUCCCAUCAUCAAUUUUUUUUUUCUCUACCAGAGGAAACUAUCAUUAGCAAACUAUAUUGCACGUGGUUGGAAUAUCCCCAGAGAGAGAGAGAGAAUAGAUCUGAACCGUGUACUUUAAUUUCUCUUUUUUCCUUUUUGGAUCGAUUAGAACAGUUUAAACUUUGCCAACAAAAUAAAUUUUUGAGAAGUAGGAUUCAGAUAAUGUUACCUAACAAUAACAUAACACAUACUUUUAAUUGUUAACAAUCUUAUUAAUUCAUGUCACUGUUAUGAAAUUAUAUAACUUGUGUCUUGUAUACAAUGAAUUGUAAUUUGUCACUAAAGCUUUAUACCAUUUAGAAAAUGGUUGCGCAAUCAUUUCUGCCCCAAAAUUUUCUUCUUCUUUAUUUUAAGCUAAUUUUCUUGUCUUCUUUUUUUUUUUUUUGGAUCAUUUAGAAAUUUUCUUUUAAGUAUGAGCCAUUGGAAGGAAAUGAUUUUUUUAAGCAUUUUUUUUGUGAUGCAGCUAUUGGGAUGGGUCCCUGAAUCUUUGGUACAUAUAAUUUUUGGUAUUUUACAGGAUGUAGAUAAUUCCUUUUUCUGUAAUUGUUUUCCAGCUAAAUUUAAAGAUAGUAGUGUUGAUGGCCUUAGCCCUUCUUCUCUUGAUCUAACACGUUGGCCACGCCAGUUUCUAGAAUCUUCCUGGGAUCAGUUAUAAGGUUUAUAAAUUUUGGAAAAAAAAAACAAAAUCAUGGUUGCAGAAUGGCUUUGAUACUAGAGGUACAGGGUAUAUAAAUAAGGGAUGAAGCAUGGUGGGAGAGGAAUAUUUGUUUGGCAGAUGGCAGAGAUAUACAUUAAACGAAGAUGUCCUAUAGUCAAGUGAUGUAUGAUACUUAGCCAUAAAAGUGGAUUUUGAUUGUUAUAAGUAUAGGUGGCAAACAAACUCAUUUAACUAAAUUUAUCCAUAUUCGUCCAUGAAUAGAAAGAUAUCGGUAUUUUAAGUUUUUGUAUAUGUGUACAAAUGGAUUACCCAAUAAUAUUCAUUUAAUAAAUGGAUAUUAAUUGAUAACACAUCAAACCCAAUUAACCCAUUUAAAAUUGUCUUUCCCCAAAUCUCCUCUCUUCCUUCACCCAUUUUUUUUUUCAGAUUCUUCAUUUUGUCAUGAUGUUAACUACUUUUGUUUUAUUAUUAUUAUUAAUUAUGGGUUUUAUCUUAUCAUAUUAUUUUCUCUUAGUUUGUCAACUUACUCAUUUUUUUAGCAUUAUCAAUUUAUGACAAGUUUUAGCCUCUUUUUCCACCUUUUCAAAAUGAAAUUUUAAAUUUACACACGAAAAAAAUAUUAGGAAUUCAAAAUUUUUGAAUCAAGUUUUUAUGUUAACUUUUAUAGUACUUAUGUCAAAUUUUUAUAUUCUUAUUGUUCAAUUAUUAAAUAGUAUAUAAUUUUGCGACAUAGAGUACGGAUGAAAAAAAAAUUGGUAACUAGGUUUAUUGAACAUUAUAAAUAAAUAUUUAAAACUAAUGAUGGGUGCAAAGGGUGGUACAAAUUGAUAACAUAGUUUACAAAAAUGAAUUUAAAUGAGUUUAUGAAAAGUUAAAAUAAAUGGGUUAUAAAUGGAUAAUUGAGUUAUCCAAUUCAUUUUUUGACUUACUCAUUUAUACCCAUUUAAUUAAAUGGGUAUAAAUGAGUUGACUCACUUAUGCCCAUUACCCAUUUUAACCAACUCAUACCUGCCCAAGUCAUCCAUUUUCACACCUCUAGUUAUAAGAAAUUAGGAAAGAUUGUUGCUUGGAAGUAUUUUGAUCAGUUCUAUUUAUUUCCCCUUCUAGUUUACUGUCUAAUGUUCCUUUGCUUUAUUUACUUCAAAUAAUGCUAAUCGAUACAUUGUCAAUUGGGGAAGGGAUGUUUUCCUUUAAUUAUUCAUUGCAUUUUCUCUUUGAGAAAAGGAAAGUGAGGGUUGAAUAUGAGGUGGAAAUACAGUGGAGAUUAAACUUGUAUUUUCUCCUGGGGAAAAGGAAAGUUUUUAGGGGCUGUUGGAAAUUGAGAAGGACGAGUUAAAAAUGAUGUGAAUAGUCACUUAAUUUUUGAUCAUUUUAGAGGUUUCUGCAAUUUCUUUGUGCAAGAUUGUAGCAUGCUAUAUAAACAAGACGCUGGACAAUAAACCCAGCCAACUGAUACAAGUUGAUAGUACUAGCUGAAAUGCCUUGGCUCAUCUUCCUGUUGUUUUAGGAAAUAGAGAGAGAGAAGAAAAUAGUCAUUGUGGUAAUUCUGAACUGAUGCUUGAAGUGUGUUUUGUGCACGCUUCUCAUGAUACAUGUUGGAUAGUGUAGGAUUAUAACUGGAUGCAGCUGAAAUUCGUUUGAGAUACUGUACAGCAUAGCUCUUACAGGCUCAAACAUGUAUCAUAUACAAACAAUGGAAUUCUAUUAUUUAGUCUCUCUUGCGCCUCGCAUUGUCUGCAGUUUUGGCGUAUUGUUUAGCAGUUAUCUGCUUAAAUUCACCCUUUUGAUGAUUUAGACUUGUACCAUGGCUUGAUUAAUAUAUAGGAACCUUUGAAUUUAGAUCCAUCUUUUCAAAGAUUUAUUUUCUGAUUUUAGUUAGCUAUUUGACUAAUUGAACAUUCAUGAAAACUUAAAAGCCCAAGUCAAACUGUUGAUUACUAAAGAACAUGCAGUGAAUCAGCUGAAUUAGACUGAACUCUAAUUUUCUCUGGUUGCUUCUUAGUAAGAAUUGUUCCGAUAAGUUAUUUAUUAGAUCAUGCAAAACAGCAUUAAUACAAUAGAUAUACCUCUUAUUCCACCGUAUGUAUUCAGCUAAUUUUUGUUUUGUGUCCUAGAUUUUCUGCCAUAGUUUUUAAAAGAAUUCGAUUUAUGCUAAGGGUCUAUCUAUGGACGCUUGUUAAAAUAUACUUCAGAUGUUCGAUUUUUGGAAAGGUAAAAUUAAUUAGGGGAAGUAUAUAAGUACAAGAGAAAGUAAUAAUUGUUAGCGUGUGUACAUACAGAGAAUAGGUUGGAUGGAAUUUAGAUAUGGUAAGGAGUGCCAAUUGGACACCUAUAGGAAAAACCCCCUAUGCAGAUUUGAAGACAGUUCAGGAGUCAAUGAAACAACCAGUCUGGAUACAAAGUACAUAUGGUUAAAAUACUGGAGUCCAUGCAUUAACCAAAAUGAAGGCAGGUGCAAUCAAGGAGAUCUGCUUGGUAUCUAGACUUCCCUGAAUUUAAACAAAUUUUAACAAUCAUAAUGAUUAUCUGUUCAUGGACAAAGAGAAAGAAGAAGAAAGAUACUGAGAUUAAUGCAGGUAGCUAAUAGAGGGAUCUUUAGCAGAGAUGAAAUGUACUGCCACACAGCCUAAUUAUAAGCAAAUUAAAUAAUUAGCUUUCCAUACUAAAUCUCCAACCCCAGACACACCUAUAAAUUUCUUCGUUGAGGUUGAAAACCAACAUCUCAAGAAAAGCUACUGAGCUUAGCUACAUUGUUGCAAUGAGAUCUUCAGCAGCAGCAGCAGCAGCAUUUAAGGCAUGUUUAGGCUACCUUAUUGUGGCAAUUCUGCUAUCUGCUUCUUGUGUAUUAGCUGCUGAAAACAGUGAAAAAUCUUUCCUCCCUAGAAAGGUUUACUUUGUUCAUGGCAUCAAGAAUAGCUAUCCAGAUAAAACACAUUGGUCUGGCUUCUACUGGGAUCCUUUCCCUGGAUUUAAAUGGCCACCUUUCCCAGGAUUUAACUGGCCACCUUCUUCACCACCAAGUGGAUCAUCACCACCUUUCCCGUGGCCUUUCCCAGGAUUUAAAUGGCAGCCUAUUCCAUCCCCUUCUUUUCCACCUCCACUAGCAAAGCCAACAAGUGGAUCAUCACCACCUUUCUCAUGGCCUUUCCCAGGAUUUAAAUGGCCCCCCAUCCCAUGGCCUUUCUUUGGACUCCCAGAUUUUCACAGGUCACCUACUCAAUCCCCACAUGCAUCACCUCCGCUAGUACAACCACCAAGUGAAUCACCACCAGUUGGUGGUGCUUCAAUCUCGCCGUCACCAUCACCACCACCACCGUAUCAAGGGGAAACACCACCACCAAGUCCAUGGUCAGGGUGGGAGGAACCUACAUUUACUCAAAGUACACCUGAUUGGUUAAUUUGGGAGGACUCAACCACAAGAAGCAUCUGAUUGGUUACCUUGAUCAGCGACUACAAAAGAACAUCUACGGUAUUUUAUCGUAUGAUUUGCCUAAAAUGAGUUUGUACUGAAGUACUCGUUCAGACUAUCAGCAUACUGUUCUUACAAUAUAUUCUUGUGGAAGGAAUAUAAAACACAAACCUCAGCAUUUUGAUUUGCUGCUUUUUAACUUACUAUUAAGUGCCAAUUGAUUCUACAAGCUUAACAAGGCAACUAUAUAUUUAGGAUUCGCCAUGUCCUUGAUAUUGUUCACUUUCAGCAGCACAGGGUCAUUGAACUUAAGUGACUUUCUGAUGCCGAAGGCCUUAAAUCAUUGGCUGAAAAUCUGAAGUGAAUAUGUUUGAAUGAAUUGGAAAUGUCUGAAGAUAAUGCAUACUUGACUAAUCCUAAACUUCUAGUGAAACUUCAUGACAGCAAUAAUCAUACAAUCAUUCCAUCAAAUACAAAGUUCUGCAAAAUAACAAAAUUAUUUCAUCACUGUCUUUCCUGAAAAUGAAAAAUAAUUUUGCAGAAUCAAAUGGUUUCAAGUGCCAUAUUACGGAUCAUUCUGACCAAAGGGGCUGGACACUUGGUGACCAUGUCCAAUCUGGAAGGAUUUGAGGCAUGACCGAACAGAGACAGGCAAAACAUGGCAAGCUCCCUUAGUGAUAAAUUUGAAGACAUAAACCCUUUCCAGUGGUGAGGAUCUAAAUCAAAGAAAGCAUCAAAAAAUCUUCUAGUCCCAUUUAAGUCGAGUUGCAGUAAGGUCUCCAUGCCAAAAGAGUGGAAUUCUCUGAUACGUCUCCUCUCAACAGGCCAAAGGCCCUUCCACACUCGAUCAUAAAGUGGAGUCCCUCUAAUCAUUCUGGUUGAGCCUAGGCACUCUGCAAUUGUAUCAGCUAACACCGGUGCUAAAGCCAUUGUCCGCGCCACCAUGUAGCCGCUUGAAGGAUGCACUAUGCCUGAAUUUCCACCAAUUGCCAUCACACUUUGAGGGAUUUUAGGCAGUGGCCCUCCCAUCAGAAUGAAACACUUCUCUUCCUCUAUAACACUCCUUACUUUAACGCCUAAGUGUCUCAAUCUUGCCACCAUCCUUUUCUUAACCUCCAUAUACGACAACACAGGCCUGGCAACGAGAGAGGUCUCUUCAAGAAAUAUCAAAUUUGAAGAAAAUGGCAUCGCAUACAGAAAAGUUGGAAUCUUUGAGUUAUCUUUGCGCAAAUCUGGUUCACUUCCUAGAUGGGAAUCUCUCCAAUCCAUCAGAACCAUCUUAUCCAAAUCAAAGGGGUGAUUAUCAACUUCUGCUAAAAUUCCAUGAGCAAUUUGAUAACCAUGGUUUCUCGGCUUGUCAUACUCAAUAAAAGGACUAGCAUAUCCACUUGCAUCAACGAUCAAACUUGCCUUCAGCUCACUUCCAUCAGUGCAAACAACAGAAGACUCAAAUUCUUGAUGCUCUAUUUUCCAAACCUUAGCCUUGUGAAACUUGACUUGAUUUGAAACACAACCACUUAACAAUUUAAUCUUGAGUUCCUUUCUACUUACUCUACCAUAGGCACGGUCUAAGUACCUAGUCUUGUGAUCGUUGAUAUAAACACUACACAUGGGCCAUGUCUUGUCCAAACAAUCAUCAAGGCCUAAACUUUCAAAUUCAUCAACCCAAACUCCAUAGUUAUUUGGCCACAUAGAUAAUGGUGAAGGGUCCACGCAGCAUACCUUAAUCCCGUAUCUUGAUACUUGCUCAGCUAGUCUUAAACCAGCUGGUCCAGCUCCAAUGAUGAUCAAAUCAAAGCGACGAUCAGAAGGAUCAAGCCACGAUACAUCAAAGUCUAAAGGUUCAGGUUUCCAUGCAGGCUGUAAGUCAAGAAAGGAAUUAAACUUGCUGCUUCUGACUCUGUUACGAACGUUUCUUGCAGAAGUUUUGGUUUUAGGAGAAACAAAUCGAGGGUUCAGUGAUGAACAUGAUAUUGGAGGAUGAGAAGUUGAAAGUGCAAGAAAUGGAGACGGCCUCAGAAGAGUUUCCAUUGACAAAAGACUGAAUUGAAAAUCUAACUUUGAUGGUUUAGGCAGAAAAGAGAGGAGUGAAGGGAAAUGUUUAUGAUGAAUUGAUGAUGAAGAAAGCGUUUAGGUACUCUAAUGAAGACAAUGAAGAAUCAACCAACCAGGACCAGCAAUGGCAAGAAAUGGAUGCUUUUUAUAAUCGAUUCUUGGUCGUUUCUAUCAACUUUAACAAGAAUUAAUAUAGUAGAUUCUUGUAGCUAUUAACUUAAUCAUAGCUAGUUGGCCGUAUGGAUAUGGCGCCUCAUUUCUGCUAGGCAUUUUAUCACCUGUGUUGUCAUAUUAGACAACCUUUUAGUCUUUAGUUAAAAAAUAAAUCAUGUAUGCAUAGGAGAGAUUUGAUGUGAAUCAGCUUCCACUUUAGUUAAGUAGUAAUGCAAAACUAGUAAAAUAUGUUGGAGUAGAAUUUACAGAAUUACUCAAGUAGAUAUAUUACCAAAAAAUAAAAAAAUCUAGCAAAUGUGGCUCUGACAGACUUACUUAAUGUCUAAAACUAUGCAUGCCGUAUUACAGGUAACAAGAUUUUAUUUUUUAAAAAAAAAAAAAUUCCUGCCCAACACGGCACCCAUCAUUUUUUUUUUUAAAUAAUUCGUGGGGCUGCCGUGCUGACUUGUUUUUUCUUGGAUAGGAACCAAAAAUCAUAGUCAGAGAGAGCGGAUUUUGGGAAAAAAAAAAAAGGGGAUGCCUUGUAUUGUUAGAUUAGAUAUUAAUGGGUGCAUGAUAAGAAACCUACCUUGAUUCUCGCUUUAGAGUCCGAACUAAAAUAGUAAUCCUGCCAAAGCAAACUAAAAGGCACAAAACACAAGAUUGAUUGAUCAUACUACAAACAUGAAUUAAUGAAUCGUAUCAUACUACAAACACAAACAGGGGCUGCUGUGCUGAACAAAUGUUUUUAAAAAAAAUAAAACCUUGUUGCUUGUUGUACUAACACAGUACGGCAGGCAUAGUUUUGAACACAAAUCCUGUCUAAGCCAUAUUUGCCAAGUUUUUUUUUUUAUAUUUUGACAAUAUUUUGAGGAAUUAGCCUACCAUCAAAAUUCAGGAAAAAUGAAGUGAAAUAAAUCAGAAAACCAAAAGUGUAACAGGAGUGGUACAUGGUCACCAUCUCAUUUUUUUUUGGUAGAGUUUUUAACCAAUUAAGUAAGAGCAUGCAUUAUCAUUUUUAUAUAACAUUUUGCAUUGCAUUAGUAGGAAUUUAUUACUUUAAAAAAAAGGGAAACAAAAAGUUUUUUUCCAAAGGAAAAAAAAAAUAAGUGGGCAAAUAGCAACACAAAUAAAACAAGGGUUAAAUGCAAAAAAAACCCCCCAUGAACUAUAUACCUCAUUGCAGUUUACUCCCCAAAUUAUUUUUAUAGGCGUUUUGCCCCCUUUCACUAUGUAAUUGGACAAAUCUACCCCAUUAUCUUAAGCAUUGUUAUUUUUUUUAUUCCCUAUCUUUUUCUUUUUAGAUUCUUCCUCUUUAUUUUCUUUAAACAUUGUUUAAAUUAGUAUACUAAAUUAAUCAAAAUUUGUUUAUUUCUUAAUUUCUCAUGUCAACAUUUUAUAAAAGAAUUCUAUGGUGUAGAAGAUUUUUUUUCCAAAUGUAGAAGUCAAUAUCAUUUAAGAAUUUGAACUAUUCAAAUAUAUAAGAACAAAAUAGAGAUAUUGAUUAAUCAAUUAUUAAUAGUAUUAAUAACAAAUAAAAAAUGAAUUACUAUUGUUAUUUAUUCCUAUCUUUUUAUUUCACUACAAAAAACAAUUGUUAACUUUUCUUUCUUACGUGAUAUAUAAUAAGUUACUUUUGUUAUAAAUAGUUGAGUAAUUAUAAACUUUAAUUGGUUAUAGAUACUUAAAUUGUUGAAUUAUUGAAUUAGUAUAUAAGUUACUUAAAUCGUUUACAAUAUAAACUACAUAUAUAUUGUAAUAACAAAGAGUUUAUGAUGAAAUAUUAAAAAUGAAUGAAUUAAAAAAGUAGUUCAAAAAAUAUUUAAAAUUUUGAUGUAAGUCUUUUAGCAUUGGAGGGACACAUUGGCUAGUUCCAUGAGACAGGGGGGCAAAGCAAGAAAAUAAAAGGAAAAAGAAAUGGGAGAAAAGGAAAAAAAAUAGAGAAAAAAUAGAGAAAAAAAGAAAAAAUUUAAGAUAGUAAGGAUAGUGUUGCCCAAAUGUAUAAUUCAAGGGAGUAAAAUGCCUAUUAUUAUAGUUUAUGGGGUAAACUCUAAUAGCUAAUUACUCGGAAUAUCGUUGAAAAAAAAAAAGUUGGACAUAUAUGGGUCCCACAAGAUGGUAGUGCAAAUCUAUGGCUGCCAGCCAAAGAGGCAAAUUUUUUUAAAAAAAACUCUGACACAGCUCAGACAAAAUUCUUUUUUUUUACAAAGUCAUUGGCCUGUCAGCCCGGCUGCGGCAAAAUUCUGCAAAAAUUUGCAGGAGAUGUAGAAUUAUUGCUGCUGCCAUCGCAUUCAAGAUUCCGUAUGGGGGCCUUUAUAUUUUUCCACAAUCCGAAACUAACACUGGAAAUUUGUCAAACACUUUUUUUUUUUUUGCAUGUUUCAAUGAAAGUGACUGAUGUCAUUGAAUAUUGAAUGAUUGAAGAUAUACUUUUCGUCUCUUUGAUCUGUUGAUUUCAUCUAACAGCGACUAAGAUUUUCUUUUUUUCACUAAAUUUUCUUUUAUAUAUGAUUUAUGUGUUAUCAUUUGUUGGUAAUUAAUUUAACGAAAAGAUGCUCUUUACACUAAUAUGUCUUGACAAUGUGGAUUACUUUUAAGAAUUUUAAUGAGAUUUAGACCACAUUUUUUAUGCAUUCAAUCUAAUUCACAUUUUAUUUCAUUUGAAAUAUAAUUAUUUAAAACAUAAGGGACCAAAAAAUAUGAAAUCAAACUUUUGACUAAUUCUAACUUGAUUUGACCGUUAUAUAUUAUAGUUUUGUAUUAGUUGCCCUAAAUUUGGCUAAAAUAAAAAAUUUGCUAUCAUAAUUAUUUUGGUUAAAAUAUCACGGAUUAGUUUAAACUCAUAGACCAAACGUUGGGGGGACCAAAAUUGCACAUGUUCCUUUAUUUUAAUCAUAUUUGAAAUCCCAACCCUUUCUUUUAUAUUUACGCCUCAAUUAUUUCAAAAAUGAAACUCAAUUAAAAAAAUAAAAUCUACCACAAUAUUUGUUUUGACAUGUACAAAAUUCACUAAAUAAUAUUGAAAAUUUCACCCAUUUUCCAAUGCAACAAUUUCACCCCUUUUUUUAUUAAAAACUUAUGCCGCUUGACGUACUAAAUCCGACAGUCUUUUAAGUUAAUUAAAUUACGUUUCAAAAUUGGAACGUAAGAAAAAGAUGAAAACAGAUUUGUUAAAUCAAUAAUUACUUCUAUAGGAUGUUAAACUAAAAAAAGGCUGUUUUAAAAAAAAAAUCUCAUUCAUUUUAUAAUAAGAUGCAGUUCUCAAAUUGUUGAAAAAUUAUUUGUUAAAAUUAUUAUGUAAUUUUUAAUGUACAAUAUAAUUUUAUAAAUAUAAAUUUGUUGUGCAAUAUAAAAACAAAAUAGGCAAAAAAAAUGAAAAGAAGAAAAAAUGCAGAACAUGACAUUAUCAAAUUGUGAAUUUAAAAAUAGCGAUAAUUCUGCCUGGCAGCAGCAAUAAUUCGAUGGCAGCAAUAAUUCUGCAUUUGAAGAAAAAAAUGCAGAACAUGACAUUAUCAAAUUGUGAAUUUAAAAAUAGCGAUAAUUCUGCCUGGCCGCAGCAAUAAUUCGAUGGCAGCAAUAAUUCUGCAUUGAAUGCGAUGACAUUGAAUGAUGGCAGCAGCAAAUUUUUGCAGAAUUCUGCCGGCUGCCGGCCGUCAGAGUUUAAAAAAAAAAUUUGCCUUUUUGGCUGCCAGGCAGUGUCAUAGAUUUGCAGUACCCUUGUCAGAUCCACACAGCCCGGAAGCCAUAGAUCCAUAUGUGUCCGACUUUUCUGUAUACAGUUCGUGCGGGAUUUUUUGCAUUUAACCCAUUAAAGAAGGGCCGAAUUAGACACGGACCCAACGCGAGUAUACUAAGAUCAACAUCAAGCGGAAGAUUUGUGGGGCGGCAAAAGUUGAUGGCUUAUCACUAAUCAGCCGCGCAAAUAAAUACUCUUGUUUUUCUUUUGGUUUUUGUUUGAAAUGAAUAGUUUAAAAGUCCUUUUAUAGUACUUAACAAAAUAGUAUCCAGUUUCAUUUUUGGGAUUGGAAAUCAGAUCCUGCAACUGCUUCGACCACUGAACCAAAUGAACUCUUUUUAUCUUUUGGUCUUUGUUUGAACUGCAAAGUUUUAAAGUCCUUUUAUGGUAGUUAACAAAAUAGUAUGCAAUUUCGCUUUUGGAAUUGGAACGUAAUCAGUGAGGGAUGAAAAUAUUCAUUUUUUGAAAUAUGAAGGAUGGAAAAAUUCAUUUUGUAAAAUAUGAGGAACGAACAAAUUUGUUUUAUAAAAUAUGAAGGAUUAUAGAUUAGAUUAUAUAAAAUAUAAUUUGACAAAUUUACUCUUAAAAAAUGAUCACGUGCCUUGCACGUGAUGGAUUCCUGCUAAAAAAUGAUCGAAAACCUAGUUAGGAACUAAAUUUGACCGAUGUGAAUAUGUAAGAAACAUAAAAUUACACUUUUAAAAAUGAAGGGCGAAAAAAAUCAUUUUACAAAAUAUAAGAGACGUUUUGAACAAUUUUCGCUAUAAUUAACAUAUAAGACCUUCGGCACUCAUUAGCGAAAUCCUUUAAAAUUGAGACGCUCGUUAGCCAAAUCAUUUGAAAUUUUACCACAAAUAAUUAAUUUUCCGAUAAAAGUCCGAAACAAAUUAUGUUCUAAUAUAAAUAACAUAACUACAGGUCGCUUACCCAAAAAUAAAGGAAAAAAAAAGAAAAGAAAGGGGUGUUUUACAAGGAACUACAAUUAACAUUUUACGAGAACCAGGAGGCCCAAAAAUUCUAGCAUUUAUAAUAUACAAAAAAAGAAAAAGAAAAAAGAAGAUGACCAUGGUUCUUGAUAUUGUUCUAUUUCCACACAGCUCUGGGACAACGAGGAGCAGUUGGAAGUGAUUAACACGGGCUAGAGGAAGGAGAAUCCAACGAUAUAUAGUAUUGAGAAUCAUCAUCCCAGAAUCAUCUAUAGCAUCCCUGAUCCAAGAAAUCACCGUUUCCGGCAGGACGGUAGGGUAAUGCCACCACAAGCAGCAGCAAUUAUUAUGUACAGCAGUAUUACGAUCAAGCACGUCAACAAAGCCCUGCAUAAAUGUUAUAGGUUCCUAUCCGUCAGUUCAAAGAGCCAGAUUGCUUUAAACCUAUGAGAAAAUUUGACGGAAUGCUCCGUUGCUGAGAACAUAAAGGUAAAGAAACUAUAAACUAAAGAAAGAGAGAAGCAAAAGAAAAAAAAUUAUCGAUAAUAAAUCUAAAAGGCUGUCGAAAAUUCCCAACUUUAUGAUGAAGCCAACAAAGAAAAAGACAUUUUCCAGUUGCAGUAAACGAGCAGCAGCUAAGGAAAAGAAGACGCUAGGAUGCGUAGAUAAGAUUAGUUGUUCAAUAGUUUUUUGCCAGCAAUUAUUCUGGCUAUUUUUAAGAUUUUGAAACAAGAAUGCUCCCCUUGGUUUCAGUUUUCUACUGGUCAUUUUUCUCAUAACCACGAGUCAAUUAACAAUAUCUAAUUUACUCUAUAACCUAAAUUCAACUAAAGUUGUCAUUCAUGCAAAAGCAAAAACUGAAUGAUAACUUGCUGAGCAUGCUGUUGAACUGAAUUGAUUAAGAAUGCCACAAUUAACUUCAAGCUAAAGUCUACAUUGAAUAAAUUAUCAUCCUACAUGAGUCGAAGUUACUUUUUCCCUUCUAAUUGUAGAACGAGGCUACGAUACUCACAGGAGUUUGGCAUUCUUCAUCCAAAGAGCUCGACGAAGACGCUUUGACUGUUUCCUGAAGUGAAAUGCACUAUCUUGCAUUGUUGCUGUUUUAUCAACAAGAAGUUCAAUGCGGUCACCUCUUUCAAGUAUCUUCUCAAUGUUAUCCACCAUUAUUGUGCGUAUCUAGAGAUCAGGUUAAAGAUCAAACAAGAAUAUUACCUAAAAGAAAAAAAGACUGUGCAAAGUAAGAGAAUAAUGCUCAAUGACAGUUACAACCAGCAGACAGAAAACUGUCACAAGUUCCUAUUUCACUCAAUAGAUAGUAAGCCAAUCAUCACCAAUCAACUUUUAUCUCUAAAUUCUCAUCUCCUAUACAACUAACCUAUGCACAUGCACGCACAAAUUUUCAUCAAGGAAACAGUAAAUUUCCAAGUUACGCUUGGAAGUUUUCUAGACAAUGAUAUCACAGAUCUAUUUGGGCUUGCUUAAAAGGUCAUAAAAGUCAUAAAACACAUGGAGCUUUUGUCCCAUGCUCUAGCAUUUCCACCUCACACUAUGUGGUAAAACGCCUCGCUGCAAACCUUCUCCUUGCCAAUUAGAUCACUCAAAACUACAACUCUUGUCAUUAUAUUUCUCUUGAGCUUGUUUCAACUCAAAAACUUGCCCGCCACAAAUUACAUUGGCUAUAUCAAGGGAUUGAAAAGUAGCUAUUUGAUAAACUUGUAGAAGCAUGUUUUAAGGGCGAAAGCGAAUACUAAUACUGUGACUCUUCCUCAAAAUAUAAAAGCAAAAACGACAAAAAAAGGUGGAGAUGGAGGGACCCAAAAGGAGGGGGUAGGACCUUUUUAGAUACUACAAGAAUACUUAUCCUCAAACCAAUUCUGUGCGUAAAACUUAAAAAAUUGACCACAGAAUACAUAGUUAUUACUUCGAGACAAAUUUAAGGUAUUCUAGCCGGGAACUAAUAUUUAUGCUCCAAAAAAGUCCUUAUUGGCGCUCCACUGUCUUUUCAAUAAAUGUGAACAGACAAAACUGCCAACCGCAGAUAUCUAUCAUAUUAGGUAAGUUGUCGGAUUUAUUAGGAAAGUUCCUAAAAGUUCUAAAGUUCUACAACUAGUUAAAUUUUCUAUUUAGAAUAUGGAAUUACGAGUUUUAGGAAGCUUUAUGGUGUACAAAUAGUUAUGUUAUUCUAGGUACAGAGAAUUUGAUGAAUGAAGAUUGAGAUUUUGUUUUAUUAGUUGCUCUGUUCUUCCCCUUAAAUUAUUUUCCUCCUCCCAUCUUUUCUUACCACAUUACUGUUCAUGGGUACUUUUCACGGCCCCUAAACAGGCCACGAUCCCCUCAUUCUUCUGCUAGUGCUAGUAAGGCAAGAUCUUACUUGUCCUUACAUCAAUUUAAAGUCUGAAUCUCAAUAUGAGUCUGUCGGGACAUGUUACUAGAAGCAUCAGCAUCCACAGUAUGCCCUAUCCAAAUCAACAGCUCCAAUCAACUCAAAGCUUUAAAUUAAUGAAGACAGAAAGCAAAUUUGCAGCACUUCACUGGGAGACUCUUGAAUAUUCCCCCCAUUCCAUGAUUGAGAAGUGAAUACAAAAAGACAAGACCUUUUGCAAAGUAACAUGCAUGUUGCCCGAUACAUCCAAAAGAGAUGGAGAAGUAAAUGCAAACAGCAAACAAGAAAAUGCGAUUGUCUUGUUCUCUCUUGUACAUUUCCUUAAAGUGUUUCCUAAUGUCUAAAUGAGUACUCCUGAUGAACAGCUAGAAACAAGAAUAACAGACCUUUUAUUAAAAGUAAUUAGAUUUAAACUUAGGCAACUUAUUGCUACAUGUCCAACACAGGAUGGAAAACCAACAUCCAAAUCACCAAAUAAAACAUGCACUCCAAAAAUGACAAAACAGCUUUUUAUAUAAUUUCUGUUUUCAUAUUACCCCAUGUAAGGUAAAAGAAAAAUACUUGCCUCACUAACUUCACCCCUAACACGGUGGAGGGUAUCAGCACUAGGAUUACUUGAGAAAAACUCCAUUUGUUGAUGCAAGACUCUUGAGAAUUCAUCAUUCAUAGCAUAAGCAGGUGCAUAAGGUGCCACUUUGCCAUAGUUCUUCAUGAAUCUCAUAUGUAUAUCCUCUAAGUAUGAGAAUGGUAUCCUUCCUGGGUCAAAUAUGCAUUAAAAUUUCAAAUCAGAACUUAGAAAACUUUACAUAGCCUACACAUAGUACCAAUGUAGAAGUGUGAUUUAGCAGAAAAAAAGUAAGCAAAAAUGAGGAAAUGAUACCUAGAGACACUAACUUAAAUAGCGUGUAGGCAUUAAGAAUUCAAGAUAUGCAACAUUAACUAGAAAGGAAAAUUAUGCUUUUAGAAGCUUUAUAUAAAAGCAAAAUAGCGUAAUGUAGGCAUUAAGAAUUCAAGAUAUACAACAUUAACUAGAAAGGAAAAUUAUGCUUUUAGAAGCUUUAAAUAAAAGCAAAAUCACAUAUAUUUGUGUCCACACAAAGCAUGGCGAUGACUAAGCUUUCCGUCCAUAUUUUCACCACCUCCUCGACCCAAUGAUCCAUUCUUUUUUUUUUUAAUAGUAUAACAUACACAAAGGGCUUAAUCCGAAAGGACCCCAGAAAGCUAAAGUCUUUUCUUUUUCACACCUCAUACUAUCAGGAAGUCUCAAAAUGCAAGUUUCAAGCUCGAUCAAGAUAUUGCACUUUAAUCACGAGUACGCAUUUAAUCUGAAACUUCCAAAUAUUGAAAACCCCACCUCAGCAGCACUUAAUCGACCCUCAGAACAUAUCACACAAGAAGCAGUCUGUGCACAAAAGAUAAAUAUCUAUGGCCUAAUCUAUACAUAAUCAUCAUCCAAUCCUACAAAAAGAAAAUUAGCUGCUGCUAAAUGUUGUACAUAUAAAAAAAAAUCCCACCUUUUUCAAUAAACAAAAAGAAAUGACUCCAGAAUUUCCAAUUUAAUUUUGCAACUCCGUCAACAAAUAAUACCUCUAUCAUCAAUAUCCUACUGAAAACAAUAGUUAUCCAGUCAAAAAAGAAAACGAGAAUUUAUGAAUUUAAGACCUUAAUCCAGGAAAAAUGAAUUUCUUAUUAAAGAAAAAAGUCAAACCCUCAGAAACUACACAGAAAAGGGAACUUUAUAAACAUACUUCCGAAGGUAUCAUUAGCCAUACAGAGAAAAGUCAGGCCAUCAGAUUUGAGAAUAUGGAAAAUAUAUCGAUCCUGAGAGAAGCAGAGUCUCGACUCGGCCUCCAACGGCAGCUUCUCCAAUAUCCGCCGCACAACUGCUCCGGCGUUCCCCGUGACAGCGCUGAACUCCGCGAGCACGGUAGUCCCCCGAGCCACCACCGCAUAGACUAUCGCCAUCAAAGUAGCCCGUCCUCGUUACCUACUACUCAAUAAACGUAUAUGUAAACUUAAGUAUAUGUAUCUAUAUGGUAUAAUUUACAUACAUAUACAUGGAAAUUGAGGUUUGAUUAGGGUUUUGAAUUUGGGUUUGAGGAAGUUAGUUGGGACAGUGAAGAUCGGGGGAUGGUGUCCACCGGCUGCUGUAAGUCCACGCCUCCACGGGCUAGUCAGUGUUCUAUUUCUACUACAUCCAAUAAUUUAUUAUUUUUGGAAUUCACUUGAUACGUUCCUCACAAAGAAAAAAAAAAAAUUCACUUGAUACGCUUUGUUGUGGCCGGUUUUUAUUUGGAAAAUUGGGAUUCGUGUCUUAACUUCGAAGUUCGAACAAAUGGUGUCAAUUGGGAUCUACGAGCUGGAUUUUAACAAACCUAAUUUCAAUUCAAAAAACACUAGGGCUUUAUUGGAAUUCAUGUCUUAAUUUGGAAUUAAGAGUGUCAAUCGGGCUCUAUGAAUUGGGUUUUGAGAAGCCUAAUCUCAGUUAAAAAAUAAAUGAAACUUUUGAGUUUUCGAGUUCGGGGCUAGGUUAGAAUAGUCAAACUCGACUCAUCAUUUAAUAUGAGUUGCGGUCUUAUAUUAUUUUCGACUCAAACUCAUAAUUAACUAUAUAAUUAUAUAUAAUAUAUUAAUAUUUAUAAAUUUGUAUAUAAUUUAUUAAUAUUUUAAUCUUAUAAUAUGUGUAAUUAUAUAUAUAUCAUUUAAUAUGCAAUUAUAUAUAUUGUAUUUUUAAUUAUACAUAUGAGCAGGUUAGGCCUUAAUCAGGCUUGAACAUAAUGAUGCCCAAACUCGACCCAUAUUUAACUUGGGCCUAUUAUAUAUAUCUAAACUUUACUUGAUUUUAUGCUUUAGAAAAAAGAAAAAAAACUCUACUUGAUUCUAUUAAAUAUAAGACUCAUUGGACUUUCUAUGGAUUGAACAAGGUGAGCAUGGGCUAGCCCAACCCAUUGAUAACCCUAACUUUGAACCCUUGAUUAUUGUGCAUUUAAGUUUUACUUAAGAUUUUUUUUGGUUCUUUACAUGUAUUAAAACUAAUCAAUUUGUCUAUUUUGAAUAAAAAUGAAAAAGAUUAAAAAUGUAUAUACAUGACUAUAGUAACACAAUUGUAGGUGUACGUUCUCUGUUUACAAUAGCGUGAAUGUGCCAAAACCUUGAGUGUUUUUACACCUUAAUGAGCUAAGCAAUUAGGAUAAUUACUAUAUGCUCUGUUUGGAUUUAGGCUUUUUUGAAAAAUAAUUUUUUCAUCUACAAUGCUACAGUAAUACACAAACAAAAACAAUUUCAAAAACACCAUAUUCAUACAAUAUAUCAAAAACAACUCCAAAUAUACCAAAAAAAUACACAACUACCCAUCACUCUCCACCACCACAACCACCACCUUACCGCCACCAUCCCCAUACCCACGACCCUCUCUCCUUUCUCUCUCUGUUGGUUUUUCCUCCCUCUCUCCUCCUCUCUUUCCUUCUCCUUCCUUCUUUUUUCUUUCCCUUUCCCCACCCCCCAAUUUCCUUCUCCUCGACUGACUGCAACCUUCUUAGUCACGAUCAAAUCUGAUCGCGAUCAGAAACCGCGACCAAGAUGGUCGUGAUUAGAGUGGUGGCUAAAGUCGCUGCCAUCACCUGCGAGUGGGAGAAGGGUUUGGGGUUAGGAGGAAGGAGGAGGAGGGAGGAGAAGGGAGGUGGAGGAGGAGGAGGGGGGAGGAAAUAGAGGGGAGGAGGAGAGAAAGAGAAAGGAGACAGGGGGGGGAAAUGGAGGGAAUAGUGGUGGGUCAUGUAAAAUUUUAAAAAAAAAUAUUCCAAAAAAAUUGUAAAUUAUAAAAAUACUCAAAAAUAUAUUUUAAAAAUACCUUUAAAAACAAUUCAAAAAAUAUUUACAGUAAAAGUUUUUCAUAUACACAGUUACAGUAAAGUUUUUGAAAAACACCUCCAAACAGCUAAUCCAAACACCUCCAAAAACAGCUACAGUAAUGUUUUAUGUAGUGUGUCUAAGUUGAAGUUUAGACCCAAUUAGCAGGAUUAGUAGGCAACAUAAGUUGAAGAUGAAACAAAAAAUUAAAAUUAGGAAGCCAAAAAUGUAUGUUUGGAUAAAAGAUUAUCUGAAAUAAAAAUUGGAAUGACAUUGUGAUUUAUUUUUUGUAAUAUGAUAAAUGUAAGGUAAAAAGGUAAUUAGACACACUUUUUUUUUUUUUGGAAAUGGUAUUUGGACUCCUACCAUUUGUUAUAUCAUAUAGUCUAAUCGAUGAAAACUAUAUGAUAAAAAUGAUAGUGGGAGUGCAAAUAACAAAAAGGGGAGUAUAAAUAACAUUUUCCUCUUUUUUUUCAAAUAAUGUUUCCAAACAAAAUUUUUGCGAAUUAGUCCACAAUUUUUUGGUUAUGUGUUGAAUAGGUCCUUCAAGUUUUUUUUUUUUCCAAUUUGUAGUUGACCACCCUUGUAUUAUGGAUUUAUCACGGCACUACCUUUCCCUUUGCAUAAUUGCAUUAGCCAACUCUAACGGUUCAAUUGUUUUUUUUUCUCUUUUUUCCUUUUCAUCCCUCUGUCCUUUCCAUUUCUUUUUCCUUUCUUUUUUGUUUGUACUUGUCCAUUCUUUUGUAUCGCCACUUAUUUCAUUUCUUUUUUUGUUAGCAAUUUCUGUUUCUUCUUAUGCUACCUAGUAGCUAAGUUUCUCCUUUUCGUAAAACUUACUUUUUAAUAUGAAGAAUUGAUUCAUCAUCAACCUAUAUAUUGAAGUAAUGAAUUAUCAAUUGAAGAUGUGAUCUUUAACCGGUACAUAUUGUAUUUAUAGCUAUUUGAUCAAAUUAUUUAUUUUCAAUGUUGCAAUUUAGGUACAUUUAGAAGAAAUCGAAUUGUUUUAUUGGAUGCCUUCAAAUAUAAAGUAUUUUUGCUAAUUACAUUUAAGUGUGUACUAGAAGCAUUUCGCCCAGAGUGCCUUGGUUUGAUAACUAAGAUUGAGAUUUUAAAAAUUAGAGUUCCUGAGUUUAAAUUCUCUUCAUCAUUUCCGCUUCUUAAAUAUCACUCCUUCUUUGUAAGAAAAAAAAAAGCUCUCUGUAUCACGUGUUAAAGACUUUCAAAAGGAAAGAGAAGAAAGAAGAAAAAUGUCCAAAUGUUAGGACCGGGUUUCUAAAGAAAUGGAAGGGGUAAAUUGAAAGAUCGAAAAGUGCAAUAUUAUCAUUUCUAAUAAACCCCUUCGGCCAACUAAGAAUGAUUAAGAAAACUUGAUCAAUUCUAGAAUCAUUCAAUUGGAGAAAACUAAGCUGAUCAGUCAUCCUAUCGUAUGGUUAAAGUUCGAACCACCCGCUUGCUUGGAUUUGCCAUCGUCAAUGGGAAUCAAGGGGCAAUGAUGCCCAUACAUAAUUUUUGGUUUAGUGGUCAUUAGGGGGCAUUCGGUUUGAGGGUGUGGGAAUCAAGAUUUAAAAUGAUGUCCAUUUUAAUUUUUAAAGGCUUGGAUAAUAGGUAUAUAAUCUAGCAAAUUACUAUCAAUCCCUUUUGUAGGUGUGUUACUUUCUCUCUCUAAGUAGGGAGCCAAAAUCACCUUUGGCGGGUGUUUUGAACUUGCUUUUUCAAAUUUCAAAUUUCUCGUACUUUCCUUCAAAAAACAAACAAAAAAGCAAAAAGCAAAACAAAUAUACCUUCUUAGAUCCACAUUGCCUUCUACAUCAAUGGUGAAUUCAAUGGAAUAAUUACGCUUUAUCAUGAUGUUUGUUUAUCCUCUCCAUUUAGUGUUCUUCUUUCUGUAAUUUACAUUCAUUCCAUGGUAGGAUGACUAAAGAUGGCGAUCUAGAAGAUUUCUAAGCUAAGCUUCGAUCAUCUCUCUUUUGAGCUUGCUUUUCUGUUAAAGUUUCCAUUCCAAGUUCAAUUACCAUUUACAGGUCCAAUUUUCCAUUUCAGAUCCAAUUAUCUAUUUCAGAUUCCAUUUUCCAUUUCAAUAAUCUAGCUACUCGGUGUCAGUCAUCUUUUUCCUACUUUUCUUUGGGCUUUAUUGGUGUUUUCUUAUGCUUUCAUAGUUUCUGUUUUUAUUUUUGGACAGGUUACUGGUAUUGAUCUUCAUUUUGUCUGUGUUUAGCUGGGGAAUACUCUAAUAUUGGUUCAGGAUGACUGAGGGAUUAGAAGAAGUUUUGAGAAGAUUUGUUCUGACUGAAGAAGAGGUCGAUGGUUUCAGGGAGUGGCUAAUGUCAAAUGAGUAUCAUUGGAAAGGUGGUGGGGGAGAAGACUGCAAACAUAUCAGGUGUUAAAAGUUUAACGAAUAAUAUGUGCCUUUUGCAAGGAAGUUAAAAGUAGUUGAGAUUAGGGUUAAUAUGUUUCAGUUUAUAUUCAAUAAUACUCAUGAUAUGGAGCGGGUACUACGGGGGAGACCAUGGAUAUAUGAUAAUUUGCCGUUGGUAGUAUUACCCUGGAAUGAGGGGUUAGAACAGAAUGAUGAAGCUUUUAAUAGGACUUGGAUUUGGGUUCAGCUAUGGAAUUUACCUAUCCACUGGAUUACCAAGGAAAUUGGUAGGAAAAUUGGGAGGGUUUUCAAUUUUGUAAAUGAAGUUAUAAUUCCAAAUUGGGAGGGGGGAAGGAAGGGAAACAUCUAAAAAUUGUGGUGGAGUGGAGUUAUCUAAACCAAUGAUGAGGGGAACUAUAGUGAAGCUAGAUGAUAGUACUAGAUGGAUAGAAUUUAGAUAUCAGAAAUGUCCUAAUUUCUGCUAUUAUUGUGGGAUUAUGAGACAUAAUGAGAGAAACUGCAGGGUGAAAGGAUUUAAUAUAAACAAGGAAGCUCAAUAUGUAGCUUGGUUAAGGGCUAGUAAUGCUAGGAGCUCAACCAGAAGACAGAAUAACUCAAGUAAUGUGGAAAGUAAUGGUGGUGAAGGCUCACAACUGAAUAAGGAGUGGGGAGAAAGGGAGCAGGAACAACUCUUGUUACCCUGAAAACUAGUUGAGGUUAAUGUUGACACAAUAAUAAAGGAGACCAUGUAGGAGGAAACUAAGGAUAGGAAUCAAGUUGAGUUGAUGGAAGUUACUAAGAGGGAGAGUUGUAUGAAGUCUGGAUGUAAAAAGAAGGGGGAUGAACUAAAGGGAAUGAGUAAUGUUAAUAAAGAUUUAAACUUAAUGGCAGAAGGGGAAAUACUGAAAGGUAGCCAAAGAGAGGAUUUCAACGAUAAGGAACACUUUGAUUCUAUAUGGAUUGAUGGAUCUGUUAUAAAAACCAAUGUAAGUGAGAGGGGGGAAGGGUAUAGUUCCUGCAAAUAAAAAACAGGAUCAAACUAAUAGUAUAGGUAUGAGAGUUGGUAAGUAUAAGGGGAAUAGAGGGUGGAAGAGACUAAUUCGUGAGGUGAGUAAAAGAGUACCUCUGAGCGAAAAGAAUGAGGUUAUGGAAAUUGACAAUAAGGGGAGGAAAAGGAAACUGAGCGAGAAUGCUGAUAAAGAGAAUGACAGAGGACAGGGGAAAAUCCAGAAAAAGAGCGAGACAGUAGAAAGUGAAACAGGCCUGGAACAAACAUCUGAGGCAGUGGAGUCCUACCUUAAUGGGGCUUCCAGGUCUCAAUGAAAGCUCUGGUGUGGAACUGUCGAGGUGUAGGGAGCCUCUUGACAGUUCCCUAGUUAGAGGAGAGUGUCAAACUCCACUCCCUUAAGUUGAUUUUCUUGUCUGAAACAAAAAACAGAAAGGAUGUUAUGAAUAAAAUGAGACUAAAGUUAAGGUAUGAUAGGCUGUUUGUGAUUGAUCCAGUGGAAAAAGUUGGUGGACUGGCAGUAAUAUGGAGGAAUGAACUGCAAGUUUGUAAAGUGCUAUAUACUAACUUUACUAUUGAAAUGUUGCAGGAAAGGAAUGGUGCUAGAGCUAGAUGGUGGCUGUUAUGUGUAUAUGCCAGUAGUGAGGAUCAGAUUAGUGAGAAGCAGUGGAAGAUUAUAGAGGAUAGGAAAAGCUUAUGGGGUCAGAAUUGGGUAUUGACAGGUGACAUGAAUGAUAUAUUGUCUAAUGAUGAGAAGUGAGGAGGUAGUAGAAGGCCAGAAAGAAGUUUUCAAACAUUCAGGGACUUUGUUAACAAUAAUCAACUUAUUGACAUUGGGUUUGAAGGAAUUCCAUGGACAUGGUCAAAUAAUUGGGAAGAGGGGAAGGAAAUUAAGAAAAAAUUGGAUAGAGUCUUAUGUAGUAGACAGUGGAAGAGAGAAAAUGAGAACGCUAAAUGCCUGCAUAUCCAGAAUGAUGCCUCUGACCAUACUAUGCUGCUGUUGGAUACUGAUUCGAAGGGUAGGAAGUAGAAAAGGAGGUUUUUCUUUGACAGGAACUGAUUAAAAUAUAAAGAAGUAGGUGAACUCAUUAGCAGGGUAUAGGGAAAACAACGGGAUGGCUCAAGAAUUUUUAAACUACACCAAAAGAUAAAGAGCUGUAGAGUAGCUCUCUUGAACUGGAAUAGGCAGAGAGAUACUAAUGCAAAAAAAGAGAUUAAGGAGCUAAAGCAAAAACUUGCAGAGGUUCAGGGUGAUGGGUAUGCCAAUAAGAAUCGAAGGGUGAGAGAGCUUCAAAAGAAACUGGAAGAGGCUUAUAAGAAAAAGGAGGUGUUUUGGGGGCAGAAAGCGAGAAUUAAAUGGUUGAAGGAAGGUGAUAAGAAUACAAAAUACUUUCAUGCAAGUGUUGCAGAGAGAAAAAGAAGGAAUAAUAUCUCAAGUCUUCAGAAGGAAAUUAAGAAAAAAUUGGAUAGAGUCUUAUGUAGUAGACAGUGGAAGAGAGAAAAUGAGAACGCUAAAUGCCUGCAUAUCCAGAAUGAUGCCUCUGACCAUACUAUGCUGCUGUUGGAUACUGAUUCGAAGGGUAGGAAGUAGAAAAGGAGAUUUUUCUUUGACAGGAACUGGUUAAAAUAUAAAGAAGUAGGUGAACUCAUUAGCAGGGUAUAGGGAAAACAACAGGAUGGCUCAAGAAUUUUUAAACUACACCAAAAGAUAAAGAGCUGUAAAGUAGCUCUCUUGAACUGGAAUAGGCAGAGAGAUACUAAUGCAAAAAAAGAGAUUAAGGAGCUGAAGCAAAAACUUGCAGAGGUUCAGGGUGAUGGGUAUGCCAAUAAGAAUCGAAGGGUGAAAGAGCUUCAAAAGAAACUGGAAGAGGCUUAUAAGAGAAAGGAGGUGUUUUGGGGGCAGAAAGCGAGAAUUAAAUGGUUGAAGGAAGGUGAUAAGAAUACAAAAUACUUUCAUGCAAGUGUUGCAGAGAGAAAAAGAAGGAAUAAUAUCUCAAGUCUUCAGAAGGGUGAUGGAACUUGGUGUGAGUCAGAACAAGAAAUUGAGGAUGAAAUUAAUGGUUAUUUUCAGGAGCUUUUCACUUCUAAUAACCCUCAGCAGGUUGACUCAAUACUGAGUGGAAUUCCCCUAGUGAUCACAGACCAAAUGAAUGCAAUGCUGGUUAGACCUGUAUCAAAAAUGGAAGUCAAAAAAGCUAUUUUUUCACUGCACCCAAACAAAGUCCCGGGCCUGAUGGUAUAACUCCUGUUUUCUUCCAACAAUUCUGGAAUGUGAUAAAAGAUGACUUGAUAAAUGCCAUAUCCAGUUUCUUUCAUUCUGGUCAGUUAUUGAGGAUUGUCAAUGAAACUAUCAUUACUCUUAUCCCUAAAAUAGACUCCCCUGUAUUAGUGUUUCGGUUUAGACCAAUUAAUUUGUGUAAUGUAGUCUAUAGGAUCAUAUCUAAAAUCCUAGUCAAUAGACUAAAGCCUCUACUCAAGCUUUGUAUUAGCCAAAACCAAUCUGCUUUUAUUCCAGGAAGACAAAUCAUUGAUAAUGUUGUUAUUGCUCAUGAACUCAAUCACUGUUUAAAUAACAGGAGAUGUGGAUCUAAUGCUUUUAUGGCCUUGAAACUUGAUAUGUCCAAAGCUUAUGAUAGAGUUGAGUGGCUUUUUAUGCAAAAAAAUUAUGAAAAAAAUGAAUUUUUGUAAAAAAUGGAGAGAUUGGAUUCUGAAGUGUAUGUCAUCUGUUGUUUACUCUUUUAAUUUGAAUGGGAAAAAAAGAGGUCUUGUUACACCUACAAGGGGAAUUAGGCAAGGAGAUCCUUUAUCUAUCUCCAUACAUAUUUUUACUAGUUUAUAAGGGAUUAUCCAGUUUACUUAAGAGAGAUAUGUCUAGUCAGGAAAUCUCUGGACUUAAGAUUGCUCAGCAUAGUCCAACAUUGUCUCACCUCUUUUUUGCAGAUAAUACGUUGAUUUUCUAUAGAGCUAACAAAGAAGAAGCAGAUAAAGUGAUGAAGCUAUUGAAGAUGUAUGGGAAAGCUUCAGGACAAGUUAUAAAUGCUGAGAAGUCACCUGUAUUUUUUAGUAUGAAUACUGGAGAUGAAGUGAAUGUAUAAAUAUUGGAUAUCUUGAGAGGCAUGAAGGAAGCUAGGCAAAGCAAAUAUCUUGGCCUUCUAUUGGUUAUAGGAAGACCAAAAAAACAAGUCUUCAACUACAUUAGGGAGCGUGUCAUCAAUAGGAUGUGUGGAUGGAAGGAGAGACUACUGAGUAAUGUUGGUAAGGAGGUCCUUUUAAAAUCUGUGAUUUUAGCUCUACCUGCUUAUGCUAUGAGUUGCUGCAAACUACCAAAAGGUUUAUAUGUGAAUAUUUGUAAAGAAAUGGCAAAGUUUUGGUAGGGUGAUAGUGAGAAAAAUAGAAAAAUUCAUUGGGUGGAGUAGAGGAAGUUAUCUGAGAUUAAAGGGAAGGGAGGUUUGGGUUUUUGAGAUCUCUAGCAAUUCAAUAUUAUUAUGCUUGCUAAGCAACUAUGGAGGAUCUUGACAAGGCCAAAUCUUUUAGUUAACAGGAUUGUUAGGGGAGGUAUUUUAGAGGAUCUUCCAUUUGGAAAAUGAAAAUUAAUGCUGGGGAUUCCUAGGUAUGGAAAAGCAUUCUAAGUGCAAGAGAGCUAUUGGAAGAAGGGGUGAGGAAGAGAAUGGGGAAUGGCCAGCAGAUUGAUAUAUGGGAAGAUAAGUGGUUACUAGAUUUGGAAGUUGGUAAGAUAAGAUCGUAAGAUAAGAUUGAGAAAACCUCAACAUUGUCAUAUACAAAGAGUCAAUGAGUUGAUUUCUGAAGGGACUUGGAAUAAGGAAUUACUGAGAGAGAUUUUUUAUGAGGAAGACUGUCAAAGAACAACUAAUAUUCCAAUAAGUGAGUGUGGUGAUAAGGAUAGACUAAUAUGGAUGUUCUCUAAAUCAAGGGAGUAUAUUGUGAAAACUGGCUAUGUGGUGGCUAAAGAGUUGCAGAGAAAAGGAAGAAGGGAAAGUCAGUAACAAGGGAGUAGUAGCAGGAAUGAAGCUAAUUCAGGGGUGUGGAGAUUCUUAUGGAGCCUGAACGUAAAGCAUAAGCUAAAACAUUUUGUAUGGAAAUGUCUUCAAAGAAUCUUGCCAGUGAAUGAAAUAAUUAGGAGAAGGAUUGGACAAGGAAAUGAUAGGUGUUGUUGCUGUGGAGAAAGGAUAGAAACUCUUGAACACAUGUUCUUUUUCUAUAAGCAUGCAGAGCUAAUUUGGAAGACUGCUCCAAUUAGCUGGGAUGGGUUAAAGGAAUAUAUAUAUAGCUUUUGGCAUUGGUGGAGUAGAUUUGGAAAUCCAGGAACCAGAUACAAUUUAAUAGGGAAGGGAGAUGUCCAGGCAUGACAAUUAAUAAGGCAAUACAAGAAUGGCUAGAAUUCUAUAAUGUAAACACAAAAAAGGGAGAGGAUGAAAAAUGGUACAGGGGCGUGGAAAAAGGAAAUGUGAAUGGGACCCACCACCAGAAAACUUCAAGUGCUUAAAUGCUAAUGCAGUUGUCAAACAAAAUGAUGCAAAAAUAGGAUGGGGAGUCGUGGCUAGAUGCAAGGAAGGGAAGUUAAGAGGAGCUUGGGCUGGUUGUGAAGGUAGAAAUGGUGUUCCAGCUGUUGAGGAGGCAAGAGCAAUCCGGAAAGCGCUUAUGUUUGCCAAGAUGAAUGGAUGGAGGAAUAUUAUAAUCCAAUCAAACUGCAAGAGAAUUAUUGAUCAAAUCAGAGAGGGAAACCUGAAUGACCAUUUAGCAGGUGCUGUCCUAUUUGACAUUCUAGUGAUUAGCAAGGACUUUAGUUCUUGUCUCUUCUCUUUUAUUAAGAGGGAAGGGAAUAAUGUGUGCCACCAUUUGAUAAAGUUUGCCUUAAAUUUAGUUUCUGAGAUAGCUUGGAUGGAUUCAUUUCCAAGUUGGCUAAUCAGUCUAGCCAAAGAUGAUGUAGGAGCCUUUGCUCCAGAUUUGUAAUACUUUUGUUGAAGUAAUGAAUUCUUAUAUCGUUUGGAAAAAAAAAAAGAUAAUAGGUAUGGAGUUGGAGAUUUUGGAAUGAAUUCUAAAAUAGCAACUCUCAAUUCUUGAGUAAAUUGGUGGGUUUUGUUAAUUCCUAAAUUUGAUUCCAAGAUAAUUGUAUAAAAUAUGUCUUUUGAAUUCACCUACAAAAAAUGACUAUAGUAAAUCACAAUAUUAUUAAACGAUAGACACAAAUAUGAGAAUUUCUAAAAAUCAAGGAGGUGGGCUACACAAAUAUGAAAUCGCUAAAAUCAAGAAGAUGAGUUAUUCAUUAUUUUGUUUCUGUCACUUAAUUCAUAUGUUGUUUGUAUAGGAUUUCAUCUCCUCUUUUAUGGCAUCUAAAAACUUUCCCCUCAUUGCCCUCACACACCAUAUGGACCUUGUUUGGCAAGUGAGUUUUUUGGGUGUUUGUAUAAAAUUUUACUGUAAUUUACUGUAGAAGUUUUUUAAAAAAAUUUUGAAGUGUGUUUUGUUUUUAAUAUUUUGAAGUGUAUAGUUUAAAACUUUGAAAAGUUUUUAAGAUUACUGUAACUAAAGUUUUUAAAAAACUUAUAGCAGACAAACUUGAUAAAAAACUUAUCUGCCAAACAAGGAUGCAUGACAUCUCAAAAACUUCCACCUUUCAUCUCACUAUCAUCACUCCUUCCUCACCCUCAAAAUCCUAACCCUAAACCCCCAAACCAAAUUUCAUCCAUCACACCAAGCUCUGCACAUCCUCACCUCCAAGUCCAAAACAGUACCAAAAAUUUACCAUCACGAUCUCAAGGGAUUCAACAUCAACUUGAGGAAAGGAAAAAAAAAAACUGCGUCGGAUUGUGUUAAUGUCACCCCAGUCAAAAUCCUUUAAAUCUAUUAGCCAAGCCAUUGACAAGUUCUAAAUUUGCAUUGUAUCAAUUGACAAGAAAAAACGAGAAGGUGAAGUUGCUUCAUCAUUUGGGUUAUGACUGGAAGUUGGAGAGAAAUGAACAAAAAACAAAAAAACCAGGAGGUCUUGAUUGGUACUGAUUCUUUAUAAUUCAUUUCGUAUCCGAUUUCAAUUCCGGAGGAUGAACCAAGCACCCCUCACUUUUAGGUCUUCCAAUCCCAUUGAUCCUAUUAAAGAGUAAUUUGAGCACCCCUUACUUUUAGUUCUUCCAAUCCCAUAGAUCCAAUUAAAGAGUAAAUUGGGCACUAUCAUACUCAUUCUUGAUGUGGCCCAUCUCAAAAUUAAAAAAAAAAAUCCAAUUAAACCCAACACAAUAAACAAGCUUAAGAAAGAAAAAACGCCAUUCUUUUCAUCUCCUGCCUCAAAAUAUUCAUCUGUUCAAUUACCUCUUCUUUAUCAAACUUUUUUAAAUUCUUGCUUUGGAGGUUCAUAGAAUAUCUCGCAAAGAAGAUGUAGAGACAAGAGAGAAAUAGAAGAGGGGAGAGAUUUGUUUGCUGGUGUUCAAGAAAAGUUGAAAGGAUUAAAUCAUGAUGGAAUUGAGAAAAAAUGACCACGGUCAAAAGGAAGAUGGAAAAGAGAAAGAAGUUCGAUUUUAUAACUAUGAUUGACUGAAGAUCUAAUUUUGAUAUUUUUUGCGAAUUUUGGCUCAUAUUUAGUCUAACAAUCUUUAGUUAAUUGUUGCGGGUUCUGAUGGUUUAGAGACAUGGGCGGCUGUCAAGAAAGUUUUAGACUUUUAGUAGCAUGAGAUGCCAUGAAUUGCUACUACAAUUGGUGAUGGAAAGCUUCAGACUUUCUAGAUAGCAGAAAGGACGAAGACGAUGGAAAGAGGGACCAAAGAAAGAAGAAAAGAAUAGGAAAAGAAUAACAAAAUAGAGAUGGUGAUUCCAUUCUAGCGCAGGGAUCAAACAUCAGUUUUAGGAAAAAAAAAAAAUUUUGCUCAAGUCAUUAUCAUUGAAGGGGUAUUGGAUGGUGAUUGGAAUUGCCAUUGCCUGGUAGUUUCAAAACUCGUGGUGAAGCUUUGCUCUUUGGGGUACAUAGACUGCGAUGCGAGUAGUUUUUCUUUAACUUGGGAAGUUUCAGCUCAAGUUUCCUUUAACAAUUUUGAGAGUGAUCUUACUCAGCCUAUAAUAACGAAAAGCAGAGAAUUCAAGAAUUUUAUAGGCUAAGAAUCACCCGUGUCCCAAGAAUAUCCGUCCAUCCAGCUGGCCGGGGGCCACAAAAAUUCUGCCUCCAUUUGUUUGUCGAAGAUAGCAAGUAAACCUCCUCGACCAGUUUCGUGUCCAGUUUGGAUUCCAGUUUUCUUUUUCUUUUUUUUUUCUGAAGUUUGUAUAGAAAAAUGUACUGUAAUAAUUUGAUAUAUGUAAAAUAAAAAGUUAAUUAAGAAAUGUAUACAUGAAAAGCGUAAAAAAAUUUUGGUAAAAACUGCAAUCCAAAUAUAUACCACCAGUGUUGCAGAUAACAAUAAAACAAAGAAAGAUGAAAAAGGCGAAAGCAUACUCUCAUAAACUACAUUCCAAUAGACAUAUUUCGUUUUUAGUUUUCUUUCAGCCACAAAGCUGAUUUACUUCCUUAAAUAAGUAUCAAAAACACCUAAACCAAUUGUUAGCAUUGAUUCUUGACUUUUGGUGGUGAAAAAUAGAAGGGUAAUAUACGUUGGGGUUAAGCUUUAUAUUUAUACUACACUUUUAGAAAAUUUUGAGGUAAAAAAUUUAGAAAAAAAGCUUAUAUUUAUUUCAUCUUCAAUGCUAUUUGUUGGACUGCUACCAUCGUAAUAAAAAAAUUUUUGUAUUUUCACCGCGAUUUAUUCUCGCUGUUUUUAUGAGACAAAGUAAAUAUGAGUUUUUUUAAUCAUAGUGAUAGCAUUAAAGACGAAGCAAAUAUAAGCUUUUUUUUAAAAUUUUAUUUUUAUCUCAAAAUUUUCUAAGAAUAUAGUUUGCCCUCAAAUUUUAUUUAGAACAUUAUGUUAACCUUAGUUUGAAUGGUGAUUUUGUAAUUUCAUAAUAAUUUUAUUUGAAAACUUCAAUUAUUCAAGUUCAACCAUUAAAUCUAACUGAAAAUCUAAUAGUUCUAUUUAGAUUACAACGAUGAUAAGGAGUUAAAGUAUAGAUUUUCAAAUCAUACGGAACUAAAGUGUAUAUACACCGAAUUAUAGGGAUUUUUUUUUUUUCUGUACUUCAACCCAAAAUAGAAUGACGCUUAAGAACGAAAAUGUUCAUUCUUGAUUACGUAAGUUCGUUGUCGGGAGAAUGAAGCAAUCCAACCCAUCAAGAGCCAAAGGGACCCUACGAAAUACGAGUUGCCUAAUUUUUCAUGACUCGAAGUCAAGGUCUUGAGAUUCCGUUUUCAAGAGAAGUCGGAGAGGAUAUCAUAUAAUAUAAGUGAAGGAAGACCUAAGAAGAGGCUAAAGUCGUCGGGGUACACACGAGUCCAGAUUACUUCAGCGGCACAAGGGGGACAGGCAAUAGAAUAGAACAGGUCAAAUCGCGUGCAUGUUCACAGCGACAAAAAACUAGCUUGGUGAGUACGUGCAAUUGGACCUGAUCUUGAUCCAUCCUGAAAAAGAUAGAAGUGAUGUAUUUUGUUGCUUAGGCCCCAUUACUUAGCUGUUUUUCCAACUCAAAGCUGAAAAUUACUAUAUAUUCACUAUUUUUCAGUGCUCAGCUGUGCGAAAAUGAUAGAUGGGUUGAGGAAGUCUAAACCGCAUCAUAACAAGAAGUGGUGGUGAGGUAAACGGGUAAGAUAAAAAAUUUGAUCCUCACUGUUUUUGUUCAUUUUAGUACAUGUUAUUUUGAUCUGUUUAACGGAUGCCCUAUAGGCACGAGUUAAGAUGUAUUUGAAGUGUUAAAUUUUUUAAAAAUAUAAAAUUAAUUAGAAAAAUUGUAUAAAUGGAAGAGGUUUACUUAGGGAAAGUGUAUAAAUGCAAGAGAAAGUAGUACUUGUCAGUGUGCGUAUAUAUAUGAUAGGUUAGGUGAAAAUAUGGAUGUGUUAACGAGUGCACAUAGAUCACCUAUUAGAAAAUCCCUUUAUUAUUGAUUAGCCUCACAAAGUGUUUGUCAUAAAUCACAUGUUUUCCAUAAUUACCUCUUCUUUCUCUAACAUGUUAUUGUUGCAUGAUAUGAAGAACAUUUCAAUAAGGUCAAAUGGUUGGGCAGUAAGUGGACAUUUCAAUAAUGUCUUUUGGAAAAAUCCAACUCAAUUUUUUAUUCGGAUUUUGAAUUAUGUAGGUGCAUUAUUACAAAGUCAUAAUAAAUGGCCCUUUUUGACUUAUGAUCAAAGAUUAAAGGCAUAGAGGAUAACAAAUUUCAUCAUGAUACUUAAUUAGGCAAUAAAUUCUUCCAACUUGCAAAUUUCAAGAGCUCAUGUGUUGACUUUUGCCUUCCUCACAAGGUCGUCUCAGUUGGAUUUCAACCUAGAUUUUAUACACCGAACGACUGAGUAAAUUUUACACUUAAAAUUGUCUCCAUUAUUAUACACAAAACGAUGACCUUCGAAAUAUUCUUAGUUUCAAAUACAAAAUGUCAAAACUCAAAACCAACUCUUACAGCCCCUGAACUCACAAUUUAGUCUAAAUCAAUUCCCCAUAAUCCUAUCUAGAACCUAGUUAACAAAUACAAAAUGUCAAAAUAUUCUUAGUAACAAAUAAUACAUAAUGUCAAAACGAACUCUUACAGCCCAUGAACUCACAAUUAAUUAGUCUAAAUCAAUUCCUCAUAAUCCUAUCCAGAACCUAGUUCACAAUUUAGGGAAGCUGCAUAUGGUCAUUAAACUGAUCCCACUCCCACAUCCUUCUUAAUUCACCGUCCAUCUCCAAGUGCUUCCCUUCACCAUCUACACGAUCAACCGAAACCUCCUCUGGUGAGGCUGAAAUUUCUACUGAGUUUUUUCUGUCCAUCGUUGCUCCCCUCUGAGUCUGAGAACGAACAUCUUUAUCAUCAUCUUCAAUGGUGGGUACUACUGCUUCCCUAGAAGUACCUGCCCCUACUGGCCUUCGAUCAAAUGCUCGAAAGCUUCCUGAUACGAUAUAGACCCUACACAAGCUAACUUCAUACCUUAACUGCAGCCCACCAGAAAAAGCAAACGUAUUUACCUUAGGUCUGCCAUUAGAAUUAUGCGGUGCAAGUGGCAAGCCGCAAAGCUUUACAUGCUCGAGAAAAAGGAAAUCAGAAGUGGCCAAAAAAGAAAGAAAAAGAAAAAAAGAAUGACCAAUAAAUAUCUGCGACUUUAGGUGGUACAGAUUGUUUUCAGCGGGUGUACCUUAGGAAUGACGUGAGUGGAUGAAGUAGACCAUUCUUCCUUAAUAGCUCUAUACUCAUUCAUCUUCCACUUAGUUUUUCUUCCCAUUGGAGCUUUUCCUUUGUAGAAGACCAAGCUUUUCUUCACCCCAAUGACUCUAUUAUCCGAAGAAUAAACAUGACUAGGAGAGCCAGUGGCUUUCCAGUACCCCGAAGCCGUGGUCCGGCUAGGCCUUCCACCUCGAGCUUCUCUUUCUUGUCUCGGUACAAAAAAGAACCAUUGCUCAGCAUCUCCACUGCACAACUCCCCCGACAGCUCUACAUUUUUCAUGAAAACAGAUAAAAAAAAAAACUUAGUCGAAUUUAUACCGAUAACCGUGAAGAAAUGAAAGUAGAUAAUGAAAGCUAGCUAGAAGCCAAAGAAUUCGAACUUGGAAGCUGCCAUGGCUCUGACUCAUAAAUGUUGAUGACUGGGAUGACUCGAUUGAGUUCUUCCACUCUCUUUUCUUCAAGCUUGUUGUGAAGAUAGAAAGAAACUAACUCAUCUUCAGUUGGAUAAAAUCGAAAGCCUGGGAUAGUUUCUUUGGACAUUCCCUCUUGCUUUUCUUGUUGCAUAUCCAUGUAUGAUGUUGCUGGCAAGUGGUUGUGGUAUAAAGUUUUAAGAAUUUUAAUUUUUGGUGGGCACUUUUGGAUCACGACUUUUAUAUAGGCAGUGGAAAAAGCGUGUGGGGAAGAAAGGGACAAGGCACGGUAAAGACGGUUUCCGAGUGAAAUGAGAAAAUCUGCUGUGGGAUUUGAGAUAAAGCUUGGAAACGGUAUAAACGCGGCAAUGAAGAGAAAAAGUGGGAAAAUGAUAUGCUGUUGUCCUCCAAUUAAGAGGGUGCUUAGUGAAAUAGCAAUAACUUUAGUUGGAAUCAGUCAGACUUACUUACUGGAGAGGAAGUCUUGCACUCGGAUUUUAAGGGAAAUUAUGAGAAUUAUAUGUGCCAAAUGGACAUAAAUGUAAUCACCAAUUGGGAAAAGGGAUAAUAUCAGAAAUCUCCCUUGAGGUUUCUCCUAAUAUUAUAUCACUUGACACUUUUGAGAUUUUAAAAAUAUCGCGUACCUCUCCUAAUAAUUGUAAAAAGACUAUAUUAACUCUCAUUCCGAUACAUAAUUCACAUAUAAAAUAAAUGGAGCUCAAAAAUAAAAAAGAAAUGAAAAUUACUUUCUUCUUUUUUUUUCUCCAACAUUCUGUCUUACUCAUUUUCUGGAUGACUAUGUAAUAUUUUAUUUAUAAAAUAUAAUAAAUUGAAUUUUGUUUAUCUUUUACUUUUUGUGAUUGUGAUAGAGUGGGGUAUGAUUUAUUUACAUAUUUUGAUUUGAUUUUUACAAUAAUUAGUACAAUUUAAAGGUUUGUGCAUGGGUUGAGAAAAGUAGAAAAAAAUAUAAAAUUCAUAAGAAAUCGGUUAUAAGCAUAUAGAGUUAAUUGGUGCAAGUGUAUUUAUUUACAAAUAUCUUUUUUACUUUUUAAAUUUAAAUUUAUAUGGGUUAUAGCAUUAUAAUGUGGAAGUACUACUAGAGAUUAUUUUUUAAGUGAUGAUUUUCUUAAAGUAAACAAAGUGGUUUAGAAAAUUUUUUAAUAGCAAGUAAAAGAGUAGUUUAGGAUUUUUAAAAAUUUUGUUACACAAAUAAUAAAAGUAAAGAAGGUAAGUGAUUUUUUAAAACUUUAGAGGGACCAGAUGAUAUUAAGAGAAAACUUAGAGGAGGUUUCUGAUAUUAUCCCUUGGAAAAAAAAAAAAAAGGAGCAAAAUUUUGGUUCUCAACCACGUACGCUACUGACCGCCUCACCAGGUCAAAUUUGGAAUGGGGGGACAGUUUAGUACUAAGAGAAAAAAUUCUUACUUUCGUAAGAAAAUGUCAGAAAAAAAAAUAGUACUAAGAGAUUAACUUUUAUGAAUUUUUUUUUAACGGCUGCUUAAUAGACAAUUUUUAAAGCAUCUGAAAUUCUGAAUCACAUUUAAGCUAAGCUAUUAUGCGAAUGAACAUAUUAAUAAUUAUUUUCCUAUCUUGUAUUUAUAAUUUUUUUAUUAUAUUUAUGUUUUCAAAAAUAUUUAUAUUUGAACUACAUUUUAACGAAUACUCUAUUGCUACUUAUUAGAUAGAUCCUAAUUUCUAUUAUAAACUUUUCUACCAUUGCACCUUAAACCAUGAAGGACAUGAUGGGACGGAUGCUAUUGAAGUAUUGGUAUAAUUUUUUUUUUUUUUUCAGUUAGGGAUAUCCGGGCCUACACCCGACUAUUCCCCUAACCCUGAGGAGAGCGGGCUCCACCGAUCCUCAGGAGAAUACCCCAGGCUGCCCAACCUCGAAAUCGAAAUCAGGACCGGCGCCUUAACUAAGAACGCGAAACCCAGCCGAGCAACCCGUGGGCUAUGUUUUCAGAACCGGACCGGAUAGCGACUCGGCCGAGGUCAGGGGUCAGGGGUCAAUGGGUUCGACCGGGGGUCGAUAGGGGUCGAACCGGAUGACGUCAUAAAUAAAAAUUAUUUUACAAUUAAAAUGUUAUAUAUAUAAUAUCUAAUAAUAUAUUGAUAUUAAUAAAGGCAUAUUCAUAUAUAUUUGAUGUUUCAAAUAUAUUUAACAAGAAAAUACAAAGAAAUUAGAACAAUCAAGUAGCAAUUUAUAUUAUUUAAUAAAUAUUAACAAGUUUAGAAUUAAAAUUAUGAAUUUAAUUGAAAAAUAACAUCAAAUUUUAGGACAAUAUUUAUAAAGUAUCAAAUAUUUGAGGUAUAUCAAUAAGUUUUAACAAUUUAGGGGGUCAAAACAUAAUAUUAAAAAGUUUGAAUUUUUUUUUUUAAAAAAAUACUGUUGAACCGGAAAAACCGGUUUUUUCCCGGUCAAACCCGGUCAAACCCGGUUUUUGACCGGCUUUGACCGGGUUUUAAAUUUCCGGUUUUCUAAUGUGACUCGGACCGGCUACCUGGCCGGUUCCCGGUUCAACCGGUUCGACCGGCCGGUCCGGUCCGAGUUUGAAAACAGAGCCCGUGGGGACAAGUAUUGGUAUAAUUGUUAUACCUUUUUAAUUGAUUUACCGUACACUUAAUGAUUACGUUAUAGGUGGGAGUUUUGUUUAAGUACCAAUUCAAUAUAUGUUCGCAUAUAUAAGUAUGAUUAAUCUUUCGUACAUUGACAAUGUAUACACUAUCAACAGGAAUGAUAAUUAUGUAAAAUUUAAAUUUAAAAUUUAACUUUUAUAUACAUGUCAUGAAUCACACGGUGAUAGUGUAGUAUACAUUAUCAAAAUAUUUAAUUGCCCCUAAAAACGAAUUGUACAUGUCCUGACCCAAAAAAUGAAAUUAUGAAUCAUCGAUUGCAGGAAGUUGGGACAUAUCACCCCGUUGACUCGUCACCUCUUCAAAAUUGUAAUAUAUCCAUUGAAGUUUCAAUUUUUUUAUGGGCUUUUUGAAGGACAAAGUAGCAAAUUGCGUACGUUAUAUGCUAUAGAUUGUAAGCUCUAGAGUAAAUUUCUGAGGUAGUCUUAUUAUACAUACAUAUAUAUAUAUAUAUAUAUAUAUAUAUAUAUAUAUAUAUAUAUAUAUAUAUAUAUAUAUAUAUAUAUAUAUAUAUAUGUAGGGAUAAUUUCAGAAACCUCCCUUGAGGUUUCCAGCAAUUAUAGAGAGCUCCCCUCAAGUUUCAAAAAUUACACCUACGUCCCUUGCUUUUAAGGUUUAUGUAAUAAUAUAGAUUCAAUAGCUUAUAAUUUUUCACAAAUAUCCUAAAAUACCUUUCUUUAGAGAACAAGAUAAAACAAAACAACGUUUUAAUCUUUAAUUUCUUGUAUGUGUUAUACUCACUAAAUCAAACAAAGUCCAGUGACUUCAACUCAUCUCAAAAUUUAUUAGUUGCUAAUUCUUGCUUAAUGCAACUCACUACCACCACUACCAAUAUCAAACUAAGAAAUGCCCCCCAUGUGACUAAAAAUAUAAUUCAUCAUUGCUCUAACACUUAUAGAAAUAGAGACAAAAUUCUAUUUUUAUAAUAAAACCACAAUCAAUAGGUAAAUAAAAGAGAGAACCAAUGAGUAAUUGCUAUACUUUUUUGCUUAACAAACAUAAUAAUCACUUCUUUAUGUUCCAACUCUCAAUUUCAUUUUUUUCCCUAUAUCACUGCCACUUUUUUCAUCUUCCCCUAUUUUGGCAAUAAAAUCCAUAGUUUGUACCUUGUUAAUUUGGUAACUUCAAUGGGCUAACAUUUGUAAAGAGUAAAACUAUUGGAAAAAAAAGAAUGGGUCUAAAAUUUUUAUAAUAAGAAAGAGACAGGAAGACAAAAAAUACAGAUAAAUUUUGGAGAUGGUAAAAAAUUAAUAAUGGUGUGAUUGGUAACAAUGGAGCAUGAUAUUUGAUGAGAGGGAGAAGCGAUUGUAGGAUAAAAAGAGAAAAAAAUAUGAAAGAGGAAACGAGGGAGGGAGGAAGAUAUGAAAAUUAGAAAAUUGAUGAAAAUUAUUUUUUUGAAAUUAGAAAAUGACAAGUAGAAUAAUAAGCAGUAUUUUUCGCCUUUAGAUGCCCCUUUAUGAAUUAACUAUUAAGUGAAGGACAUUUUAAUCAUUUGAUUAUACCGAGGAAGGUCUAAGCAAUUAUUGAAACCUCAGAAAGCCAGAGUGAAAUUGUCAAAAACCUCAUGGUAGGUUUCUGAAAUUGUUCCUUAUACAUAUAUGUGGUGGAGAAUAUAAUAGGUGGAGAAAUUGUGGUGGAGAAAUUGUCCCUAUAUAAUAGGAAAAUAGAUCGACACCUAUCAUAUACCCCACAUUCUUGGAUGGUUAGAGACCCCUAAAUGCUCGAAGCAAAGUUUCCUCGGACGGGUUAUACAAGAAGCAUUUAAAAUCUCACCUUUUCCUAGCUGCACUAUUGGAGCAAUUAAUGGGUUAGUUUAAUUUUUUAAUGGCAUUAGCAAAAUCCAGAUAAUGCACAAAUUCUUACUUUACCUUCAUUUUCCCUAUUCUGUUGACCAAGGGUUAUCUGUCUAAUAUACUUUGGAGCAAGGACUAUACCAUCAGGUGAUUAGAAGCUUCAUUUUUUUUCCCCUAAUCAAUGCAUCAUAAUGAUAAGCGUACACUAGUGUAGAUUAAGGUUAAAAAUUCUCUGAGUCUGGUACAAAACAACUGUGUUGGAUGGUAGUCACUGACUUCUUGGUGGAACAUAUUACUGCUUCACCAUUCUGUUGUGCUUGACAAUAAGCAAGUAAUACUCUGUUAUCGAUGCAGCUGUUAUGUAAGUGGGUAAUCUAUAAGAACUUCUACAAGUGAUUUAUGAUUAGAGAGCAUACCCUACUCAUGUGAUGGUGAUUGGCGUUAAAAUCAGCUAAUUUUCCUUUCUACCAAAAAAAAAAAAAAAAAAAAGCAAGCAAUACUACAAGAAAAGGGGGAGGGAAUGGAUUAAGGAGUGAAAAUUCUACAUAAAUGUCUUGAUGAUAGUUUCUUAGCUCAAAUUUUUAAAAAAGACAUAGGGCCAAUAUUCUAUCUAAACUUCAAAUUUGUAAGUGUAGCCAGGGGAUCGAAAUGGAAUCUCAUACGUUUGUGGUUCUAGUAGAAACGUUUUGAGAGUUCCAUGCUCUUGAAGAAACCUUUUGAAAAGGAUUCAAUGACUAUUUAUUGAGGCUUUCAAUAAUGCAUACAUCAAUUAGCUGAACCAAACAACUGUGGCUGUAGUGUGAUCAUUUUGGCUUCCUUAAGUUCUUUUUUGACAACAGAAAUGCAUAAAAGAAGAAACGAAAAGGAGUCAUGUAGGAGACGACAUAUAGAUACCUACUUAUUUUUUCUAUUAAGACUUAGGCAAUGUCCAAUGGUGGCAUCUCAAAGCAGGCAUCAAAUCGUACUCAGAUAGGUGUAAGUGGUAUUCAAUGCAGACAACAACCAUCUUGUGAACCCUUCGUUUUAUGCUGGUCAAGAGGUGUCAAUAUAGCCAUGAAGAUGUUACUUAUACAUAAUUUCAGCAAUUAUAAAUUUUAAUAUUACAAAAAAAAAGUUAUUAUUUUGCAAAAAUAAAAAUAAAAACUUUUGAAUUUGUAGAUGUGCUCCUUCAGAACUUUUAGAAUAUUCUGUACAGACUUCUUGCAUGUUUCAUUUCAAAGUGAAAAUCCUGCUCAGUCUGUAGAUAAUAGGUGUGUAUGCCCAACUUGGAUGCUGUAAGACCUUCCUCCAUUCAGAAAGUCUCUUUAUUUCCCGUGAGCAAACUUUCAAAUAUUUUGCAAGCAGUACUCUUGGCUAUUAAGAAGUUUUGUUAGAUAAAGAGAAGUUCAAAAGUUUUGUCCAACAAGUGCAUCUGGGAGAUUUCAAGAUUUCUUUUGUCAUUUCAAAAUUAGGUACAAGAGAGAAUGUGCAACAAGUAGACAACUUCUCAUAUAUGCAAAAUAUUUUGUUCAUCAAAUCAUGAUGAAAGAGAGAGAGAAAGACAGAGAGAGAUAUUAAAAUGCAAGCCAAAUGUAUAGUAGAAAUGAGGCACAUAGAAAUACAACAACUCAAAAUCAGUACAUUAUACACACACACACACAGCUAAGAUGAUGAUAAGAGCAAGACAUCAAGUCUUCUCUUUUUACUCAAAAAAAAACACACAUAUCAUAUAUAUGUGUACUGCUUAGUUUAUGGAGUUCAUAAUACUACGAACAUAAACUUCAAGGAAUUCCAAUAAUGGGAAUGAAAGGAACGUAGUAGCUAGAUGGUGCCAGUCCCCAU
rnacentral:lncRNA from 1 species